rnacentral:lncRNA from 1 species
AUGAUGAACCUGGAUCAACGUUAAUGGUUUUGUAUUGAAUUCCAUCAGGUACAUUGGUGUUGUACUUGUAAGGACCCUUGCCAUUGAUGAGAACUCCAUCAGGCAUCCCAAGUUCUUCACUAGAGUCAAGUACACUCCUCAAUGCCUAAAGAAGCAAACAAAGUUUUCACCAACAUUGGAAGAUCAUACAAUCAAAAAGUAAAAUAAUAAAACCUUCUCACUUACUGUAUGGUUGUGAGUAUACCAAUCACCAAUCAUAAAGCUGAUAUCACCAUCAGACUUACUGAAAAGGAUAGGAAUAAGAUCCCGGUUGUUGAUUACGAUUGGACCAAACCCACCAGAAGCUCUCUGGAAGUGAAGCGAAGGGAAGUAGAAGAAGCUUCUGAUCUGAUCUUUGACUUGAAAGCUAUAAGUGAAGUUCCAUUGAGGAGGAAUGGGACAGUUAGUUCCAAGAACACCGUCUUGCCACGAGUUAGUUCAUAGAAAACCGCGAUAAGAAACAAGCCGCCGCCAUUUUUAUGUUCUGGUUCGUUGAUCUUCGAAAACAACGUUAAACGGAGGAGAUGAAGGGUGUGUACAGUGCGUGUAGUUUUUGAAACUCCUCUGACAAAAAAGAGAAUAAUGAAGAUUUUAUUCUCUCAUUUUAUUUAUUUAUUAGGGACAGAGACAAAACCAAAGGCUAACAAUGGAGAUUUCUAUUGCUAAUCCCUAAACGCGUUUAAUUUACUGGUUUACCCACUUAACCGGUUCUUCUAAUUUGUUAGUAAUUUAUUUGGGCAUGCUGAUUUCUGCAAAAGUUCAGUGGACAUGUGUCUUUAUAAGUGUGGCUGUGAAUUGGAUACUUUCUCAAAACACAAUGAUUCUCACUGAUUUCUGUUUUCCUCUUUUUGUUUCCUAUUGAUUUACCUACCAUAUUGUGUGUGUAACGACGUGUAAAUUGUAAUUACUUGAGUAAGCUUCCAUGUUCUCUAACGAUGUGAUUUAUUUUAUUAUUUUUUGAUAGAUACGUCUUUUUUUUUGGUAAAAAGAUGGGAGAGAGCCUCCCAAUUUUAUUAAAAGAACAACUUCAAACUACAUUCGAACUUGUCGUGGCUGUAAUGAGCCAUCAACAUCCUCUCGUAUGAAACUAACAAGCUCAAUUGGAACAACAUCAAAACGAUGAAAACCAAAAGGAAGAGAAAUAGCAAGGUUAGCUAACCCAUCAGCUAAGCGGUUAGCUUCCCUAUACACAUGAACAAUGCGGACCAACCAAUCCCUCGUCAAGAAGCCAUGGCAUAGGCAUACCAGGAAAGACGGAUGAGUAUCCUCGAUCCCUGCCGAAAGAAAGCCCACCACCAUUUUAGAAUCAACCUCCACCUCUAACCUACUUAUGUUUUUCUCCCAAGCAAUCACAAGGCCAUAGUAGACCCCCCAAAGAUCCGCCAGAGGCGCAGAACACCUCCCUAUAUUAAGAGCAAAUCCACCAUACCACUCACCAUUACCAUCACGCAGCACCCCUCCAACCGACGCCAGCCCCGGGUUACCAUGUGAUGCUCCAUCAGUGUUCAGUUUCAUCCACACCACCCGAGGAGGCGUCCAUCCAAUCAUUAUAUCCACCCUUUGUUUCAUAACCAUGUUUUUCUCCUCCGCCUUCUUCACACAUGUCACUUCGCUGGCCAAGUUACGUAAGAACUGGACUCUAUCCCUCCAAAGACGAUUAUCCCCAAACACAUUCCCACACCUCCACUUCCAUCCCCACCAUACAGCCAAGGCAAACGUCGUGGCCCAAGGUAUCCCACUUGGAGCAUCGUUAUCACAUAAGUUCCGAUAUAACCACUCAAGCAAAGGCAUCGAGAAGAAUGCAUGCCGCUUAGUACCUGUGACGAAUCUAUUCCAGAUUCCCUCCAUUGCAGGACAGUCUCUAAGAACAUGUAAAAUCGUCUCAACCCCUCCUUUACAUAUUUGGCACACAUCAGUUCCACUGAGAUGUCGUCUAUAUCUCUCCGCAUUUGUCAUGAUAGCCUGAUUCCCAACGAGCCAGAGGAACACUCUAACUCUCUCUGGGGCUACCACCCGCCACACACUCUUAAAUAAACUCUCCAUCUGCUGUCUUGAAGUAUCAUCUCUUCUUAUCAACUCGUAUGCUGUUUUAACUGUGAAUUGCCCAUUUGGAGUUUCUCCCCACGCUAAACGGUCUUUCACUCCAGUUACAGUGUCCACAACCACUGCUAGAAGCUCAAGCCGUCUCCCAUCAUUUAUGUAGGGAGAAAUUCUGGUAAGAUUCCACCCCCACCGUCUAACCACAACUCUCUAGCUGUUAUGCUUUCAUAUCCCUCGGGAAGAUCCACCACAGCCUCUCCCAUAAGCGGUUGUUGUGAAUCGUCUGUAAUAUUUCUCAUAGUUGUAAUAGCAUAAUUAUCCAGCGUUAAAAAAAAAUGAUUAAUGGCUCAUGGACCCAUGACUCGUUUUUGUACUUUCAGUGGCGGACUGGGUUAUAAUUUACACUUAAGCCUAGAGUCUAACAAAAAAGCCCAAACUAUAACUAAUUUAAAGUAAAAAAGGACAACACAAGGUGCAGGAAAGGAAAUCGAACUCAGGUUAGGGGUGUCAGGGGAAGGACAAAAUGACCAACCGAACUGUUUAUUACUAAACUUAUAGUCUAAACAGCAUUUAAGGAUCUUUAGUAAUUAAACCCCUUAACUAAAGAUGAAUCGUAAAAAAACUCUCAACUAAAAAUCCUGUGAAAUAAACCCUUAAUUAUAAUUUUGUUAACAUAUGUUACCAAGCUUUUGUUUGUGUAAAUUAAUUAAACUUGUCAAUUUUAUGAAUUAAAUUGUGUGCUUUCGAAUCAAAAACAAAUAUUUGGGUAACCGAAAUCCUGUGUAAAACCGAACCCAAAAUUAAAGCAUGUUUAGUUGGGUUUAUGAUGUGUUACUAUAUCCAAACCAAACCUGAGAAAAUUUGAACCGAAUCUAAACUGAACUUUAAAAAUAGGAAAAAUUACCCUAAGAGACACAUUCUAAGUUAUCAAUUACCCUAAGAGACACAUUAAAUCUACAAGACAAUUUCCCUUAACAAAUUUACCAAGAUAACCUCUAACUAAAGGACCUCUCUUCUCGUUAGACUAUCUAACUAGACAUUCAUCCCUAACAAAUACGAUUAAUGUUAAAAAAAAAAAAAUAAAUCAAAAGUAAAAGCGAUAAUGUGUCCAUCGUGCCGGUUCCUCUUUCAAACCAAAUCCCCAACUUGAGAAAAGUAUGCAAUGCGACGAAAUCCUAACCCCUUUCUCCCGUGCAACAUCUCAUCCACCUAGAUCUCAGUCGUUGUGUUUGAUUCCAUUCUACAUCUUUUUAUUUCGUCUCUCUCGACAUCUUACCCCUUUCCACCGUUCGAUUUCUGUAUCUCUCUCGUUCCACCACCCCGGCAUCUUGUUCGCUCUCGCUGAAUCCUUGUUUCUGUUUCUCUAAUUUUGUUCCAGACAACUUUCUGUGUUCUCUUCCGCCGCCUGUUCUUCUCUUCCNNNNNNNNNNNNNNNNNNNNNNNNNNNNNNNNNNNNNNNNNNNNNNNNNUCUUCCGAUUCGUUUCACAAACAACUACCGACAUGGAAGGUUAGAUUCUGAUUUCAAAAUCAACUACUUAAGUCUAGUUUAUCUUCUCGUUCAAAAUCAACCACCGACAUGGAUGGUGAUACUCCAGAUUUUAGAAGGAUUAGAGAGUCAUCCUUCGGGAAGCUUUUUGAUCUCCAGACCCGACAGUGCCCAUAUUAUUAAGUUAAUAUAAUGUCUUUUGUCCCGACAGUUGCUUUGUAAACUAGACUACACGCUCUGGACUGUGUUUGGAGCCGAUCCCCUUAGGUUAGGCCUUGAAGAGUUUGGGACUAUAAUUAGCCUUAAUUUUGGAGAUCUCCUGACCACAAAUCUCUUGCCCAAGACUACCCUGACCAUGACUCGACUGACCACCGCUCACCUGUUCACAACUCUCCUAACCAAGUCUCCGCUAACCGCUGACCACAACUCUCCUAACCACAACUCUUCUAGCCACAAGUCACCUGACCACAACUCACCUGACCACAACUCACCUGUCAAGUCUUUUCACAACUCUCCUACUGAUCAAGUCUUCGUUGACCAUGACAAACUGAGAAGUCAUCUCAUCCCUAGGUUUUUUUGUUUGGGAGGCACCUUUUGUAGUACUACUAAUGUGCGCUUUCGGCUACGUCUUCUCAUGUAUUCUAAUGCCACUAAUUUAGACUGCGUUGUUCUUUCGGUAGUUAACUAAUCUAUUGCUCUCUGAUUGUUUACUUUGCUCUACUUUUUGAUAACCAUCAGGGCUUACAUUUGGCCUCUUAAUCAUAAAUUCAAUCUACGUGAAAAACGUAAUAUCACUCACAAUAACUAAACAAAAAAAACAGCAAGAACAACCUUAGGGUCUUUUGUGGACGAGCCUUUAUGUUAAACUAACCACGAGAUCAUAUCCACAUGAAUCCAACAAUAACAAACAAAUACUAUCCAUCCACAGCUACACUUCCACGAACACAUCAACGAUAGAACGUAACGUUUUAUUUUUGACCUCGAGAAGAGCAUCCACACCUAUUAAUAAAUAUUUUUUUCUUCAUCUUCUUUGUUAAGACGAAGAGCAGCCCUCUUAACUACACAAUCUACCAAACACUAUCAACAGUCCUUAGAUCUUAUGCUUAUAAACAGAUCCAACGCCUCAAAUCAAUUACUUUUUUCUGAUAUAUCUACCUUUUAAUUUAACUGAACACAAACUUGGUUAUAACUCACUUAUCUUACGGCUNNNNNNNNNNNNNNNNNNNNNNNNNNNNNNNNNNNNNNNNNNNNNNNNNNNNNNNNNNNNNNNNNNNNNNNNNNNNNNNNNNNNNNNNNNNNNNNNNNNNUCAUAAUAUCUUUUAUUUCUUUUAGUUUAAAAAAAAAAAAAAAUUAAAAUUCUAACAAAUCUCUUGAAAAAGAUUAUAAUAAGAUCUUAAUUGUCAUAAAUUGAAUAUAAAUAUUUUCAACUAAUUUUGUAAUUAAUAAUUAAAUGUUACUAAAAGAAUAAAAUCAUAUCUUAUUUUAUCAAUUUUUUAAUAAUAUCUAUCAUUUUAAAAUAAAAAUGUUAUAUUGAACAAAAUAUGAUAAAAUUAUUUUAAAUUGAUAAGUUAACAUAUUUUAUUUUCAUAAAUAUAAAAUAUUUAUGCUAAAAAUAUAAUAUGUUGGUAGAACGGGUUAAUAUUAGUAAACUAUAUAAUACAUGUAUAAAAAUUUAACUUAUCUUAAACUUUUUAAUAUACAGUAAUUUAUUAUAUAAAAUUAAUAAACAUUAAAAAAUUACUAAAAAAUCUAGCAAUUUGAAUUACGGAUCAUGAUUAUAAUAAAUUAAAUACAAAAUUGUUUUCAUAUAUGUUGUUUCAUGUAUUAAAAAUUUUAGUUUAGUAAUCAAACACAAAUUCAAUAAGACAAAUAUAUAAUAAGCAACAUAUAUAUGUGAUGAUUUUAAUUUACAACAUGAAAACUAUAAAAUUAUUAUAUUUGACAUAAUUAUACAAACAUUUAAAUAUGUGAGUAACAUUAAAACUAUAUAAUAAUUAUGUAAAACAAAUAUCUAUAUAUAUAAAUGUGAAAAUAUAUACCCGCACGGUUGUGCGGGUGGAAAUCUAGUUUUGUUUAAAACCCAAUUAGAUCCGUUAAUAUUCAGUUAAUAAUGUCACAUAUUCAUAUAUUUUCAUUGUUGGAUUAAAAUAAAAAUGAGAUAUAAUUUAAAUUAGGAAUACUUAUUUUGGAUAUUAACAGAUCUACAAAUUAUAUUUUCAAAUUUUAGGAUAUCUACUAGAAAUUAGAUUGGAUAUAGAUUAUACAAAUUUUUAAAAUACAAUAUACAUGAUCAGUUUGAGUAUUUUGUAACUCAAAUCGAGUAAAAUACUUAUAGGGGUGUAUUUAAUUUCAAAUUUGAAGUGAUAUAUUUAAGUAAAAUUUUGGAUGAUUUUAGAUGACUAAAAAAUUUGGUGUGAUUUUCUUAUACCAUUCUAAUUUUUUUUUUAAAUACGAGAUUUGAAUUGUUAUUUUUUAUAAAAUAAAUUAUCUUAUAUUUUAAAGUGUUUUUUUUAAACUUAAUUUUUGAAUAAAAGUAGAUUUGAAACGAUUUGUAUUAAAUGGUGUGAUUGGCUAUUGUUUUAGAUGUUCUCCACCGUCACAAUUAUACAUAUAGUCUUAAAUCUACAUCAAUCUUGAUUUGUAUUUUUUUUAAAGCAUAUAGCCAUUUUUUUUUAAAUUCACGGCAUUUUCUAAACUCAUGUCUUUAUAAUUACUCUGUAGAGACAAAUACCUACAACCAAAAUUUAUAGACUUUUAAAAAUUAAAAAUCUAAACCCAAAGCAAAAAAAAAUCACAGCAAUAUUUAUACAGCCAAAAAAUAAAAUCACAGCUUUUACUGUAAGUUUGAAUAACUCUCUUGAUUAUUCACAAUGAUUACAGAGAUACAUAUAGUCGACACCGUUACAACAUUAGGUGAUAUUCCUAUAAUACAAGGAUUGUUAUCAACAGAAACAGAAUACGCAAGAAUAGUGGAGGCAUAUUCUAUCACCCUCUCUCAGUGUAAGCGGCAGGUUGUCGGACGGUUAGACUGGUUCUAAAGUCAAAGACUAGUGAGGAAGGUAAGCCUUUCGUGAAGAUGUCAGAAUAUUAGUAAGAUGUCGGAACAUGGAGGACCUUAACCUGACCAAGUGCUACCUUCUCUCAAACAAAAUGAAGGUCUAACUCCACAUGAUUGGUGCGUUGAUGUUUGAUGGGGUUCGCAGACAAGUAUAUAGAGCUAAUGUUGUCAUAGAAGACUAAUGUAGCUCGGGACAUUGGGUGAUGAAGCUCGAGCAACAUGUUUCUGAUCCAGCACGCCUCAGCUACCGUGUUAGCUACUCCUCGAUAUUCAGCCUCUGCACUUGAGCGUGAGACAGUCUGUUGCCGUUUGGAGGACCAAGAGAUGAGGUUGUCUCCCAAGUAGACGCAGUAGCCUGAUGUUGAUCGUCUUGUAUCAGGACAAGCGGCCCAAUCCGCAUCUAAAUAGGCAGUAAUUGUGUCUAUUUUUGACUUAUACAUUUGAAGUUCGUGAUCGACAGUACCUUGCACGUAGCGUAUGAUGCGUUUUAGCGCAUUGAGGUGUUCUGAUCGCGGGUCGUGCAUGAACAAGAAAUCUGUUGGACAGCAUAAGCUAUAUCUGGUCUGGUGAAAGUAAGAUAUUACAGUGCUCCAGCCAGGCUUCUGUAGUGCUUCGAAUUUGCGAUAUUGUCUCCUCCUUCUGCCAAUAGUUUUGAAUUGACAUCAGCUGGAGUUGAAAGAGGUUUGCAUCAUGUCAUCCCAGCUCUCUCUAUUAUCUCUGUUGCGUAAUGCUUUUGUGAUAGGAAUAUACCAGCUUUGUUGUAAUCUACCUUUAUGCCCAAAAAAUAUUUGAGCUUUCCCAUAUCUGACAUCGGGAUUUCUUGUUUCAGGCUUGUAGUGAUUCGUUGCAGCAGACUAGAACUGGAGCCUCUCAAGAUGAUGUCGUCUAUGUAUAGAAGCAGGUAUGCCAUCUCUCCGUACGGUUGUAAAUGAACAGAGAAGCAUCUGUUCUUGUUGUGAUAAAUCCAAGGUGCAAGAUGAAGUCGCUGAACCGUGCAUUCCACGCCCUCGGAUCCUGUUUGAGCCCGUAAAAUGCCUUCUCCAACUUGCAAACAUAGUGAAGAUAGUUCUUGUCGACAAAUCCUGGUGGCUAAUGCAUGUAAAUGUCCUCUGAUAUGGAGCCGUGUAGAAAGGUGUUCUUCACGUCUAACUGCUUCAUCUCCCAUCUGUGGCUUAGAGCAACAUUAAGAACCGUUCGUAUCGUAGCAGGCUUGACGACAGGGCUAAAUGUCUCAUCAUAGUCUAUCCCUUCCUCAUGUGUUAUUCCAUUUGCCACCAGCCUUGAUUUGUGCCUUGUCGGAUUCCCAUCUGCAUCAUGUUCAACUUAUACAACCACAGAGAGUUAAUAACGUUAGCAUCUAUUGGUCGAGAAACCAACCUCCAAGUCUUAUUGAUAACUUGUGCAUCAUACUCUUCCGUCAUCAAAGGUUUCCAAUUGCGAUCAGAUAAGGCUUUUUGGUGAGUAGUAAAAAUGCGAGAGGUAGAGGAAGCAUAAAGAGUGAAGAUCUUUCUUGGUUUAACAAUCCCUAGCUGUCCUCGAGUUCUCAUUCUUGGUGGAGAAGCAACCUGAGGAACAGCUUGAGUGAUAGGAACCGUUGUAGAUGAAUGAGAAGAAGUAGUGUUUGGCACAUUUGGAAUGGACUCUGUUUGGAGGAUGGAUUGAAAAAUAGGAGAAGGUGCGCAGUCAAAAAAUUCAUAAGAGGUUAAAUUAGAAGAUUGCUUCUGCGCACCUAGAAAUGUGACUCGUCAAAAACGACAUGACCUAAGAGAUCAAACCUGAAGCAAUGGGUGAUAAAAAGUUCUCUCCAUGUGUCGUAGUUAAAAACAUCAAGAUGAAGCACUAGUGGAAUGUGCUUUUGAUAUUCGUUACUCCAAAAGCUCUCUCAACCGUAGCCAUAAGAGAUCGAUUGUAGAAGAAUAAUUGAAAGAUGACGAUAAAAAAAAUUUUGAAUGAAGAGGAAAAUCAAAGAAAAUCAUGCUCUACAUGUAAGUUUGAAUAACUCUCUUGAUUAUUCAUAAUGAAUACAGAGAUACAUAUAUUUGAUAAUGUUACAAACGUGAGGUGAUAUUCCUAUAAUACAUAGAUUGCUAUCAAUAGAAACAGAAUACACAAGAAUAAUAGUGGAAGCAUAUUCUAUCACUUACCGUUCAAAUCUUUUACGAUAAGUCUAUUGUUAUUCAAACAAGAAUUUUUAAAGUUUAUUUAAAAUCUAUUGUUAUUAAACUUUAAUAUUUCAUAAAAUACUUUGAAAUUCACUGACAUAUUAAGUUGUAAAUUUAGAAUUUUCAAGUUAUUUUUAGAAUGUUUAAAUAUGAAUUUUUAGUUAAAAUAAUACAAAUUUUAUAGGUUUAGCUAAAAUUUUAAAGUUUGACAAAAAUCAUAUCAAAUUCUCUAAUUCAUAAAAGUCAUCUAACAUUCAUUAAAAAUCAAAUUACUUCAAACUAUAGACUGAAUACAACCUUAUUAAGCUUUUUUUUGUGUGUUUAGAUUCGGUUCGGUUAUCGUGUUAAUAAAAUAAAGAAACCAACAAUAAUAAUUGGGAUUAUAGAAGAAAAUACUCAAGUUAGGAAGGCAUGAUUAGGUUAUAAGCAUACAUAGAAAAGAUACAAAUCCGACGUGGCAGUCUAGGGAGCUUCGCUAACCAUUCCCCCAAACUCGAAGCCCAUAGACUCACUAUUAGACCCUCAUCACUCUUUUUUUCUCUUUCUUCUCUUCUCUCUCUCUCACGCUCUCUCAAUUAUUUAUACCAAAAACGCCACUGCUCUCUCUCCCCGGCGGCGAAGGUGGUUUAAGGCGGAAGGAGAUGGAAGGAGGAGUGUCUUCGGCGAAGUCAAUACUGGAGAAGCCUCUGAAGCUGCUGACGGAAGAGGACAUUUCUCAGCUGACGCGCGAGGAUUGCCGCAAAUUCCUCAAGGAGAAAGGUUCUCUCAUUUCCUCUCUGAUUUUUUGUUAAAUUAGUUUUUGAAUUUCUCUCCUCUCUUUUUCCUCUUUUCUUUAUUUCUCUUUCCCCGAGAAUGGCGGCUGACACGUGUCGUAACAGGAAUGCGAAGACCUUCUUGGAACAAAUCCCAGGCGAUCCAGCAAGUUCUUUCCCUCAAAGCUCUCUUUGAGCCCGGCGACGACUCCGGCGCCGGCAUCCUCCGCAAGAUCCUCGUUUCUCACCCUCCAAUUCCCUCUCGCGUGAGCUGUUUUCUACUUCGAUUUCGCUUCUCUUUCCCGUCCCUUGGUUUUGGUGUGCUGAUUUUUUUUAUGUUGACAGGUCACAACACCGUCGACUGAGCCAAGCAACGACCUCGGAGCUUGUGGCCAGAUUCCUUUUCAGGAAGAUGAUGGCCCUUCCCUCAGGAGAGAUUCCCCCAGAUCACCUGAGUUUUCUGGUGGCUCUGCUCACUAUCUAGCCGACAAAGACAGCCACAUAACACUCUCUCCCAGGUCUACCUUUCUCCGCUUGUAAUGUUGUUUAGUUGGUUUAAUAUCAUUUCCCUGAAAAAUAUAUUAAAAUGGUGAAGUUGGUCAGAGAGUACUUUGCUUAUAUAUUAAUGUUGGUGUUUAGGGGCUUUCUUUUGUUGGUGUUUCCAGAUCUUCUUGUUUUUUUCUGAAAUGAAAUGACUACCUUUCAUCAUUGCUACUUAAUGUUGCUUACUCCACUCGUCAAUGUCUUAUCUGUUUAGGAACAUGAGUUUUAGGUUAGUCCAUUUACUGUAUAAACCAAAGCUUAAUUAUAUACGGGUCUCGCUAUGAUGUGCUUCUUGUCAUAUAAACCAAUUUGCUACUCCAAUGUUGUUGUCUGUAAUAUUUCCAGCAGAAGCCCAGCAGAAACAAGUGCGCUGGCUGGGCAAUUGACGAUAUUCUAUAGUGGAAAAGUUAAUGUAUAUGAUGGUGUACCACCUGAAAAGGUAACAUUAUUGUGUCCUGCCUAAAAAAUGGAAAACCUUGAUGGCAUGUUUUUUUGAUUAUGCAUCUCUCUCUCUGUACAUUGUUUUGCAGGCUCGGUCAAUCAUGCACUUUGCAGCCAAUCCUAUUGAUUUUCCUGACAGUGGUGUUUUUCCUUCUAGUCGAAUGAUUUCCAGGCCCGUGAGUAAAGGUACCAAAGCUUUUGUCAGUUGAUAGAUGGAUGUUUCAAACUUGAAAUGAUUUUGUUUCCAUGUGUGUUAUCAAACUGGAAAAGUGAAUGGACCUGCUUUUCUGACAGAUGUUGUACAUCUUUGCACCUUUUUGCGCCAGAUGUUUAUCUAGUUUGAAUCCAAUUUUCUAUUUCUAGAUUCAAGUUUCAAACAAAUAGAUAAUUUGAUGAAACUGUGAUUCCGUUUUGCAGAAAAGAUGGUGGAGCAUCCUCAUUAUGGCCUUGAGAAGGCAAAUGCUUCUCGUGAUUCUGGUACAAAACAGUGCUGGCGCAUUACCUUAAAGAUAUAGAAACCAAAUAUUUCUAAUGAUGCUUAAACACCUGCUUUCACUUUACAUGCUAUGCGUCUCCGUGUUCACUUUAGGCAGAUAAAUUUGACUUGCUUCUUCUGCUUGAUAUUAUGAACUGGAAAUCCUGUUAGGUGUUAACCAUAGUAGUUCUUGUGUGUGUUUUGGUCUUUCUGAAGAUGCGGAGGGUCAGGCGAACAGAAAAGUGUCGUUGCAAAGAUAUCGUGAAAAGCGGAACGAGAGGUAGGUACUUCGAAGAAACGAUCCAAAAAUACUUAGGGGUUAUCUCCAAAAGAUCGGGGGGAUACUAAUGUGUGUGUUUUCUUUGCGAGGAGAAGAUUGUUUAAGACCAAAAAGGCUCCAGGAGUGGGAUCAUCUAGCUUGGAGAUGUAUCUGAACCGUAGUCAGCCACUGAUGAACGCUGCUGCAUAUUCACAAAACCCUAGUGGCGGCACAGGAGGAGAACACCAGUCACCUCAAAACCAGACAAGAAGCCCCAAUUUUUCAGUUGAUCUGAACUGUGAUCUAAACAGUGAAGGUAAGAACUAAGAAGAUAAUCAAUCAUAUUGAAAAUUAUAAAUGGUUCAAAUGAUUUUCCGUCAAAGCUCUCAUCGAUUGUGUUUUCUAGAUAUCUAACACGAUGCUUAAAAGCCGGGUUAAGCUCAAUACACGAAGGAGAGGAACAGUUGAUGUUCUUUUUUGAAAAAAGUGCCGUGUACAAGAAGGGAUAAAAAAGCAGACAAGGAAUGUUCAUUGUAUGGAAGAAACAUGGCUUAAGAAUGAGCUGGAGGAGAAGUCUUGUGAUCUCGAUUAUCUGUUUUCUUUUUGUUGUUGUUUUGUUUUGGGUCUGUAGUUUUGAGUUAGGUUAGUGACGGGAAUGUUCUUUGUUUCAACAUAGAGGCAAAGAGAGAGUGAGAGAAUGGCUGGGGGAUUUUUCUUCCGGUCUGUAUUAUGUAAAUGUUGACGCUUCUGAAAAUGAGACCUCUUUUUUUUUUAUUUGAUACCAAAACUUUUGAGUUUCCAUUGCUACCAGAGCCGGUCUUUGACUACAAACACGCUCAUGAACACACGAGAUUGGGGGUUUAGUAGGUUUGUUAAAUAUUUUGGGGCCAAAAUUUCAUAUUAGUCCUCAAAAUCAGUUGACUUAGUUUUGUAAAAUUUAUGUAUAAAUGUCUCAGGUUUGAAGCAUGGACACGACUUCUUCUCCUUUCUUUAUGACCAUGAAUCCUUCUAAUUAUUGAUAAUGUUUAAUUCAUCGAUAUGCAAGUAUGUAUCAUGUUCUUUUUUUUCUCAAAGAUUCUGUUCAUGCCAAACAAUUUAAUAUGUAGAAAAAAAAAUCCAUAAAUUACUUCUUUUCAAAUGUGCAUAAAGUCUAAUAUAUACAUUUCUACUAUAUAAAAAGAACUAAAUUGGAGGUUCCUAAACUAUGCCACGUCACCAAAAAUAUUUAGAGCCAAUCAAUGUUACACAUCAGCAUGUCAAUUAACUAAAUUAAGUUGAUUCAGUUUUACUGAAUUAACUUUUGUGUUUGAAUCUUCUUAGAAUUAGAAUAGGUUUUGUUGAAAAAGAAAAAGAAGUAAUGCAAAAUUGUGAUAAGGACACCAUAUGGUAUGAGGUCAUUUUAUUUGUUUAUUUUAAGGCAUGAAUGAGAGAGAAAUUCAAUCAAAUCGACUGUUGUCAUGUGUGAUUAUUUUUUUUUUUAUCUCCAAACAACGAUGGAUAUGGUCGGAAACGCAUCUCUAGGGUUGACACAUGAUGAGGGGUAGUAUAGUCUUUUACUUAAGAAACCAAACCCAUGUCUCUCUCUUUAUAUUUUUCCCUUAAUUUGAAAAAGAAGAUAUUCAUUCUAUUCGCGUGGUUUCGACGACGAAGAAGGAACAACGCAUAACGAUGGGUGAAGCCGUGAAGGUAUCAUCCUCUUUCUCCUCCGCUUUUGAUUUUUCUCGCCGAUUGUUUUCCGGUUAGGUUCCGGUUUUAGCGAUUCGUUGAUUCGAUUCUACCAUUCUGGAUAAAUCAAUCGACGAUUUCUCAAUCUGUUUGUGGGGUUUAGCAUCAAAAAUGAUGUAUUUCUUGUGUUGGUAAAGGAUGGAAGAGAAGAAGUGAUUCAGGCUUGGUACAUGGAUGAUAGCCAAGAUGAUCAGCGACUUCCUCACCACAAGGAUCCUAAAGAGUUUAUCUCUCUCGACAAACUUGCAGGUUUGUGUGUCUUUAUUAAUAUGUGCUGCUUCUUACAUCUCUUCUCUCAUGUAAUGUUGCUGUGCAGAGCUUGGAGUCCUUAGCUGGAGACUUGAUGCUGAUAACUACGAAACCGAUGAGGAGUUGAAAAAGAUCCGCGAGUCUCGUGGUUACUCCUACAUGGUUUGUGAUUCCGACCCCUUUAUCUGAUAAUUGAGUGCUAAAUGUUUGAUUUUGAUAAGGACACACACCUCAGAGAGAUGUUUAGCUGCUCAAGCCUUAUCUAUAGGUCUACCAUAUCUAGUGGCCUAAAGGCUGAAUUUAACAAAUUAUAUUAUAAAGUUGAGUAGUGAGCACUUAGUGAAAGGGUGAGUUUAUAAUUAAGGAUGUCUUGGCAGAUUGUUUAAAGGGUAGAUUUUUUUUCUGGAACAAGACGAGUAGUUUUACAGCUUUGAGUUUGAUUCAGGACUUUUGUGAGGUAUGCCCAGAGAAGCUUCCAAAUUAUGAAGAGAAAGUAAAGAGCUUCUUCGAGGAACAUCUCCACACUGAUGAAGAGAUCCGUUACUGCGUUGCAGGAAGUGGUACGUGCCUUCUUUUUAUUGGCUACUUUACUUUAAAAAAAAAUAUGUCACUCCUCAAUCUUUAAUUUCCUUGGAAAAAAGGCUACUUUGAUGUGAGGGAUCGCAACGAAGCUUGGAUCAGAGUUUGGGUGAAGAAGGGAGGAAUGAUAGUCUUGCCUGCUGGAAUUUAUCAUCGCUUCACCGUGGAUUCUGACAACUAUAUCAAGGUUUGCAUAAACUACUACAUACGUGCUUGUCAUUUAUCAUAUAUGUUUUUUGGUUACUUAGAAAAUUGAAAACUCUGGUUCAUACAGGCAAUGCGUCUUUUCGUGGGUGAACCGGUGUGGACACCAUACAAUCGUCCACACGACCAUCUUCCUGCAAGGUACAUAUGCCAUGUUUUCCAACUCAUCGAAAGCACUAACUCUGUGCUUUUUCUCUUAUGCGAACAUUACAAUAACAAGAAAACUUUAUUGGUUUUGUCUGCAGGAAAGAAUAUGUCGAUAACUUCGUGAAGAAAGCCAUUAACGCCUCUGCUUAGAGAGCGCGCUCUCUCUCCUGCUUCCAAAAAAGAGAGGUUCUAUAAUAAACUUGGCCUACAAUAAAGAGAGAUCUUGAAUCUAUAAUAUGCAUGUGGAGAAUGAUGGCUUUGGUAUGCAUGUGUUGUAUACUUAUUAAUAACACUCUGUUCGUCUUUAUUUACAAUCUUUGCCGUGUCCGUUUUACGAUAAAUUGUAUCGACUCAGUUUGAUCAUAUAUUUUCCUGCGUACGUUUCUUUGUGAGCUGUGUUCAACUAAGGGAAAAUAAUAAGAGUUGUUUAUUGCUGUGUGGGUAAUAUAAUGAGCCUUAUUAUACAUGUCAAAUGUAUUCUCUUGUUUGUGAAAACCAACAAUUUAAAAAAGAGAAUUUUGCUAAAAGAAACAAAAAAACUUAUACAUUGUUCUUUUAAAUCAUUUUAGGGGUUUUUGUCCACUCAGAAUUAAUUGUAACUAGAUAUUGACCCGCGUUGAAACGCGGUUAUAUUUUUUUUCAUUUUAGUUAUAAAAUCGAUAAUCAAAAUUAUUGUUAAUUCAAAAUAUUAGAUUAGAUAUUUGCUUGUUUGGAUUUGUGUCACUAUUGCGGAAACAUUUAUGGCUGAGAAAUUUAGUCUAAACCGAUGGAUCAUGUCCUGUUUGACUUGCGGAUCGAUUUAUUUUUAAAAUAUGAAUUGCGAGUGCGGUUAAAAUUAUUUUAGGCGGGACAUGUACCACCAACCCGCAAAUUUCUAAAAAUAUUUUCGUUGAAAUAUAUUAAAUAUUACAAAUAUUUAUAUUAUUUUGAUUUUAAAUAUAUUAGUUAAAUAAUUUUAAGCUAAAUAAUUAAAAUAUAUAUUUUAUAUUUAAUAAUACUGGCAGAUCCUGCUGGUUACCAACAUUUUUUUGCGGGUUAUGCGGUUAUAAAUUUGUUACUUUGCAAAUUACGCGGAUCAGGUUUUAUCCUCAACCCAUUCCUAAGAUCAAUCUUACCCGAUUUUGUAACAAUCAUUAUAUAUGUUGAUAAUUAAGAUUUAUUGUAACGAAUAUAUAAUCUAUUCUUUUAAUUUAGGUUUCAUAGCCUUUACAAAUAUCCAUAAAUGAAUAAGCUUCAGAUGAUUUUUUUAAUUUGAACGCUUGAGGUGUUGUUGUGAACUUGUGAUUAGAAAAAUGCAAUCGAGCGUUGUCUAUAUAUAAUGUUUAUGGUUAGGUUUGCUGUAGCUUAAGGAUUCCUUAUUAUGUGGGAUAAUAUUUUGUAAUCUUCGAGGCUAUCAUCGAAUUCUAAUUGUUUUUUAAAUAGUUUGUUAUUAAUUAUUAGUAAAUAGAUUGUUAUCUUCGAGGCUAUUUUUAAGUCUAACAAAGAAUCAAUCAACUUAGAUUCAGUUAACAUAUAGCACAAAAAUAAGGUGUAAAAAGAGUUAGCGUAUCUAGUCUGUUAUAGAAGCAAAGAGGAACCAAACAUAUACAUGUUCCUUGUGUGCUGAUAUGAUGUCGAUAAGAAAAAAAUAUAAAUCAACUUAGAGCAAAGUUUCAUCUAUAGUAAAAGAGGUCCAAGUGAGAGUUAUUGUAUGUGCUAAUAAAUUAAAAAAAAUACAAUCGGUCUACUUUAAUUUUAAUAGAACAUAAUUCGUUUGGUUUACUUAUAAUAGAGUAGAUUGUUGGUUUAAUUUAAGUUGUCCGGUUUUAAUGUAAUAAUAGUGUCUAAUAUAAUUAUAUUGUAACUAACUCAGAUAUGGUCCAAAAAUUAAGUAAUAUAGUAACAAACUUGAAACAGUCCAAAAUUUAAAUGACAACUUUAAUGGUAGAUAAAUUUAGGACUCUAUUUUAAUAGAGUAGAUGGUAAUCUCAUUUUGAUCCUCUAAUUAUACAAUUUAAAAACUUCUAAAAAUAAAUUAGUUUCAAACAUAUUUUCAGUAUUAAUUUUUUUCUUUUUCUUUUAUUUUUUAAUAAUUUUUUAAGUUACUAAGAACAUCAUAUCUUUCGUGGUUAUGUUUCCGCUAGAGUUUUUCAUCUUCAUAUUUUUUAUAUAAUAAAUCACAAGUCAUGUAACCAACAAAUUUCUGACGCAUAACAUUUAUUUACCAAAAAUAAGUAUCAACAGGUUCAGAUUUAAAAAAAAACAUAUCAACUAUAUAUUCCAUCAUGUCACGAGAUCUAUAACUUCCAAGCAAUUAAUUUAAAAAUUUAUUCUCCUUCUUUUUUUUUCCAUUUUUCUUUGUUUUAAAUGUAGCAAAAAAUUGAAUCUAUACAAAUUUAUGUUUGGCCUUUAUUGAGAUUGAUUUUAUUUCCUUCUCAAAUUACUACGUUCUAAUUCUUCUCAAUUCUCUUUGCAUUAUUUAAUUUGAAGAUGGUUACAUUUCUACUAUAAAUCUUCAAAAAAACUAAGUGUUUUGUCUGCAACUUGGUAAGAGUAAGUAUAUCUGAUUCUGCUAUAUAUGAAUUGAGUUUUUACGUUUGUUAUGGUUUGACAAGUUUACAAAUAUGGCUUUAUAGCAUAACAUAUUCUUAUAAUCUGUGUACGAGUCUAUUAUAUACAAAUUAAUUAAUAUAUAUUUUGUACUUUGAAGUUUCAGGUUAGUGAUGACUGCACUUGAAAGGGAUGGAGAAGAAUACCAAAACGCAAGUUAAAAAAAAAAAUCCCAAGAUAUGUUUUUUUAUAUUCAAUAGGACAUUUUUUUCUUUUUACUGGGCAUCAGAUUGCAAAACUUUCGAAUAAAUACUUUCAGUAAAAGUUUAAUGUUUUUUAUUAUUUAUUUUAGUUUUAGUUUUAAUUUUAUUUUAUUAAAAAUAAAUAGAUUUAUAUUUUUUUAAAGACUUAUAAACUAAACUAAACGAAUCAUAUAUAAUAUUUAACUAUUUUUUUAUUUGUUGGUAUUUAUUUAUUAUUUUUAUAUAAAUAUUGCUUCCAAACAUGUAUUUCUGAAACAUCGUAAUAAUCCAUUUAACGUUAUAACCUAUUUUGUUUCAAUGCGACACCUCUAAUUUUAGCUUUUAGUUUAUCCAACUCUCGAGAAAUAUGACAAAUAAAUAUUUAGUUUUGAUAGAAAUUUUUUAAAAUUCAACAUUUACCAAAAAAAGCUAAUUUUAAUGCAAACAAAAUUGGCCUGUGUAUUGCACGGAAUGAUAAUACUAGUUUAAUUAUAAUUUAGAAACUAAAUAAUAAAAAAAAAAAAAAAUUUGAAAGCACCGUAGCCUAUGGUUAAAGUUUAAAGGCUUCUACACUCAGGUUUGGAGUUCGAACCCCAGACUAUGCAAUUUUUUGCAGAUUACAGGAAAUUCAGGUUUCAAGUCCCGGAGAAGAGCGAUUUAUUAAUGCAGACUACACAAAAAAAAGGUUUCCAAGGAAGCUUCAACAUGGUGCAAGUAAAUCUGGUCAGGAAUGGAUCUUCAUAGGACGGCUCUGAUAAUGCAGUUAGGCAUAGAUCUUCAUAAGGCAUGUAGUAUUGUCAGUUGUCGAUUGUCUAUGUAAUCUUUCUCAUAAAUAUAAUGUCAUAAUAAAUCAACGUAAAAAAAAGCAAAAAAUAAACUAAUGACAGAGUGACACCAUUAAAAUGAGUCUCUUCAACUUUGUCAAAAGGUUUUUCUUCAACAAUCGUCUCUCUUUCUUUCCUCUCCAUUUUCUAUUUUCUUCAUUAUUAUUAUUGUUAGAAACGUGUCGAGAAUCUCCCAGCUCAGAGCGCUCUAAGACUCCAACUGGUGAUGAAGAAAACAAAUUGUAACAAAUGUUUUGUUCCUCGAAAUUUAUACCAAUUAGGUUAAGUUUUUGGUCAAAUUAUUGAUAAGUAGAUCCUACUAUUUUCCUCUAAAUUCCUCAUAGAAGAAUGAAUUUAUAAAGACUAAAUUCCCUCUGCAAUUCUGAUGAGGAAUCAAAUGUACAAAAAUUUCUAUCUUUUACUUUUUCAGUUCCUUAAAUGAAAAUUUAUUUUUCAUUUUAUUCAUUUUUCUAUUAAUCUGGUGGUCACCAAUCAAAGCCUAAAUGAAAAAAUCGAAAAAACGUUCGUCUUUUUUUACUCAUUUCCAUGAAACUUUGAAGGGGUAAUUUCUGUUAUCAUCGUCGAGGUUUUCUUUUUGAUGUGUCUUGGUUCACUGGCGAGUGUAAAGUCGGUGUCACUUCUCUCGUUCCUCAUUCCUCAUUUUUCUUUUUCUUUCUCAUUCCUUUUUCCUAUUUCUUUCUUAUCGGUUAUAAACCACCUUGUUAUUUUCAUAGGCGAAAAUUAAUUAUUCAACAUGGAACAAGCUUUCCUUCACUGGUGGUGAUCAUUAGGUUUUUCCCUUAUGUUCUUCUUCCAUCGCGGUUCCUCCUUUACCAAAAAUUAAAAGUUAAGAGUUUUGAGAUUUCUUUUUUUAAUUUUAUUUGUGUUUGUUUUUGUUGAUGUACAUAUACAGUUUAAAUUGCACACAAUUAACUAUUAUAAUCUAAGAGGCUGAUUCACAUUCAGAGAUUUGAAUUCCUCUCUCUUUUUUUUGUUUUGUUUAGUUGAAUUUCUAUGAAUUUGAGAUGUUGAUAUUUGUGCAUGUUCUGUGUAUAUUUUCACAUGUAAAAAAGAUCAAUUUAGUUAAUGGUAGGACUUAGUAUGCGGUAUUAUUUGAUAGUGUUCAAAUUGAAAAUCAACUUAUAUGUUGUUUAAAAUCAGAACUUGAAUGCCUAAUAUGUUUGAUGUUGUUAGCAAAUGUGAGGUUGAGUUUGAGUUUGAUUGCCUAUUAGGUUCUAUGGUCUUGGCAUAUUUGUGUCAUGUUGUUUUGUGGUUCAAUACAAUUUGUUUUUCAUUUUGGAUGUAUAUGAAUUCCUUUAACGAAAUCUUUAUUUUCAUGGUUUAUAGGAAUAACUUACGAAUUGUCAAAACACAUAAUUGAAGAAAAAUUUGAAUUUCUUGUUGAUAAGAUUAACAACAGAUGCAAAUUGACGAUUCUAAAGAUAUUGAAGAUGGUUCUUAAAGAGUACAACGAAGUGUCGAAAGACUCUGUCUUUGGUAUUAUUGUGGCAAUCAAUGAACACAAUCUUGGAUAUCAGGGAAGGUUAUUCACAGCUUCAUAUACAAACAACUAAUUAGUUUCAAGCUACACGAGUUAUGGUUUCUGUUAGCAAGGAGGUCUAUUUGGUUUUCGAUAAUGUCAUAUUGUGACUGGACUCAAAUGCAAAGAAGAACCCAAUAUAGACUUUGAAAAUUAAAAGGAUGAUAAGGGGUUAUGGAGUAGGAUGCUUAUGUGAAAUGGAAUGAUCAACAUAAGACAACUAAGGAGGAGCACCUUAAAGUCCGUAACAAAGUGUUUAUUUUUGGACAUGGUGAGCCUAGUGUAUAUGUGUGUUAUACAUGAAUUGGUCACUGCUAAGGAUGACAAGAUGUAUAUCUCUUAUGUUUGGUAAAUAAGAUGUAUCUUUGGGGUCUUCAUGUUUAUGAUGAGCUAAAUGCAUCAAUACUCAAAGCAAAGAAAAAUGUGCAUCUGAAGAAUAAUUAAAUGUUGGAAGGAUUUUUCUAUGUAUUUUAGAUUUGGCUUAUGGAAGCGAACCCAAACAUUGAUACUUUGUUGGGUAAAAAGAUCAGGCAUCAUCAAAUUGAGAUGUCGGAAUUGGAUAGGAGCUGAAAAAAUAUCCUAUCACGAUAUCAAAUACACAAAAUACGGCUGAACCUGGAUGAACUCGGUUAAACCAUGACUCAAAGACUUAUUCGGUUCGGUUGCUGGCCCAGUUUUUAAAGCAUUGAGGUUUUUCAGAUCAUAUUAAAAACAAAACUUUGAUUUACUUAUUAUCCUCCAAAUUCUCCCUUAAAACAUAGCUAAAGGGUAACACAAGAAAUGCAAAAAAGAAGAAAAAAAAAGACUUAGACAAGAGUCCCGCCUUUGACGUACUCAGUGAAAGCCAAGGCCACGAGGCCGAGCAUGGCGAAUCGACCAUUCCAUAGCUCGGCAUCUGACGUCAUAAACCCUUUGGAUUUUGACUCUGCCCUUAUUCCCUUGAACAAUGGAAUCAUCGAUGCCAACGUUAGCAACGCCGUUGUUCCUAGAAACCAUCCGACUCCACCGUCGGAGAUUUGAGCAAACAUGUUCUCUCCCUUCGAAAGCUCCACCGCAAUCGCCGCUACGAACCCUACCAUAGCGAGUCUCCCGUUUAUUCUUUCGGGCGCUGGACCGCUAAACGCUAAAAGAUCACCAAACUUCGUACUCACCUAUAAAACAAUUGACAAAUCAUUCAACCCACACUUGCAUAAUGAAAUUAUAAUGAUAUUAUAAUGAUAUUAUCGUGUUAACGAUUUUUAUUCCUUUAUUUUUUUGAUAACCAAGAUUAAUCUCUGAAGUCUACCGUAUGAUAUUCUUGCUAUUUAAUAUUCAUUUAACCAUGACUAAAACACAAUACAGAAUUCGAACUAUAUGUGGUCUCCAAAAUCUAAUAUAAAUUCUUCGACCCCCAUGAGUUGAUUAUGAUAUUAAUGACUGAUCAUUAGAUCAUACCUUAGGCUUGCUAAGUGGUGGAGGAGAAUACAACGGCGUCUGAGGUGGAGUGGCCGAGGUUGAAGGCAGAGGAGAUUCUUCCUUGAUAGGAUCGUCCUUAAGAAAGGGUAAACGCAACGAAUGGUCAGAAUUAAAAAAAAAAGUCAAACAAGUAACGUAGGGAAGAUUUGCUGUAUAAUAGGAUGCACUGUAAUUACGUAUGUACCUGAGCCAUGCACCUGACUCCCACCAAAGGAUUUCUAGUGGAGAAGACUUGGUUUGUGGUUCUGAUGUUGCGAGAGCCCAAUCCACCGGAAGGAGCGGCGAACACUGACAGCAUGCUAAACGACGCCGUUGCCAUUUCUGAUUAGGUUUGAAUGAUGGAGUAGGAAGAGAAGUAGUGAAUGAGAUAGACUCAGGAUCAUCUUAUUUAUAGAGUGGGUGAAGGUGAAAUGAAAGGUCCAGUAUUUUUCUAAAAUUUUAUUUAUUUAUUUUAUAUGGAAUGUUUAUUUUCUUUUUAUUGUACUAUCAUGAUGCCACCACAGUUGGGAGAAAAAUAGGAAUGAAAUCAUUUAUUUUUGAAAACAGGAAUGAAAUCCUUUAUUUUUGAAAACAGGAAUGAAAUCAUUUGACUAAGAAGAAAAUUUGAAACCAUUGAAUUCUGAGCUAAAUCUCGAUGUUCCUACUAAAGAGAUAUUUUCCAUCCUUAUUUAGUUAUUCUAUACGUGAAAUCGUAGAAGUAAAAAUAAUAUACAUGCAUUUGAAUUUGAACGUUAAACAAAUAAAAACACGUAGGAAAUAAAAUUUGAAAAAGAAGUGGGGGAUCUGGAAGAAGCCACGUCUAGUUGAAAAGUGAAAUCGAAUUGACGACGUGCUUGCUUCAUCCCACACACAAACAUCUUACUUGUCGUUUUAGUAUUGGCCAAGGCACGUAAAAAGAUUUAUCCUACAGUACUGAAAACAAAAGCGUCACAAAAUUUCACUCUCGAAUGUUUUUGUUUCUGGUAGUUUUGAACGAGAGAGGUCGCAUUCAUUUUUGUAUGGAGUUGGAACUUACUUAACUUCAUUAUGGCAGACCCAUGAUGACUCAUUUUGGUCUUUUCUGUUUCCCAUUUACAGCUGCGUGCCCAAAUCUCCUACGUGCACUGUCUUAUACCUUAAUAAUUAAGAACACAAUUUUUUAUAAAUUGAACAAUAUUUGAAGGGAAAUUAGACCCAAUAACAAAAAAAAAUGCAAAUUCACUAACUACACAAAACCAUCCCCCCUCUCCUACUUUCUCUUUCUAUUUCUCUCUACCCUUUCUCUACAAACGUAAUUUCCAAUUUUUUGGUUAUUGGCAAAAUAAGCCCAUAUUUGAAGUAUCACCCAUAAAGUUUAAUAUUUUGCCAAAAAUCUCAAUCACUGUACAUAUGGUAUACACAUUGAAAUAAUUAGAUAUCCUGCUAAGAUACUUCUUAGCUCUUAUCCGAAUUUCAAUCAUUUUGUUAAGCAUGAAUUGUUUAAUUAGUUACAUGUUAUAGUUUCUAAUGCUUGCUUCAACAUCAAAUACGAAAGAAUUAUGACCAUAUAUUUUUAGAGUGUUUAGAGUUUAAGGCUAUGAAUAAGCCGUGCUCGUUUGCAUGAGUGACAUGAGAUCAAAAAUAUUGUUCGUUUCCUUGUUGUAGGUCCUGCGAUUUACGAUUUGCGAAGAACUUUUGUUUGUAAAGACUCCAAAGAAGGUUUUAGCAAAGCCGAACAAUAAGGCUCUGAGGCCCAUAAGCCAAAUAACGUUUAAAGAUAGUAACCUAAUAAGCACGGAAAAGACAAGAACACACAAAAGCAUUUGUCUUUGAGUGAAAGAACUUUGCUUGUAAAGACUUGAUAUAAAGAGUGUGAUUCUAGUAGAUUCUGAGAUGAGAAAUAAUGGAAGCCUAAACUUAUUAAAAAAACCCUCCCCCUCGGUGUCAAGAUUUUUUUUUUUCUUACUUUGCUCUCUUUUCUUAGUUCAAGUAGUUUGUUCUUUUCAGUUUACGAACGUAUGACACCUGAGUGAAAAUGAGUCAGAGUUUAUGCUAAAUUAAGAGACUAUUAUUACAUUUAAACAUCACAAAGUUAGUUCUUGUAAAAUAGCAAUUGAGUUGCAGAAAAAUAUCUGAAACUUAUAGUUGCCGCUUGUGAGCUUAAGGUUUAUGAUACUCUUUCAAAAAUUAAAGUCAUUGAACAACUUCAUUAACUUGUUUUUAACACUAUCUUUUUAUCUUAUUAGAAUUGUUUGAAACUAUUCCAUUAUACAAAAAUCGACCUACAAAGAGAAAGCUAAUGACUUUUUUUGCAUAAAAUGUGGAGAUAAUCUUUAAUACAUUAGUGAGAUAUCAUGAAGUUUUUAUUUUAGAGUUUGAAGUAAAUAUGUAGAUUUUCCCGCAUCAAAAUUAGCACUCAGACUUCUAUACCUUUUAUGCUGAUACAACAAUUCUCAUAAUUUGUAUAUGCUUCCUAUUGUCUUUGUCAAUUCUGUUUAGUGUUCAUUUUAGGAAAAGCUAAGAUGAACAAAUUGGAAAAAAUGAAAGUAAAAGACGAACCAAAACAGCCCAAAACUCUAAAACGGAAUAUUAGAGCUAGAAAACAAAACACCAAAAACACAAAAGCCCAAAAAACUCUUAAGAAUCCGGUGCUAAAAACAAAAAACUUCUUUAGUUAUUGUCGUUGCUGCAACAAUGCAUCAGAUCCAUCAAUACCAUUCAGAAGACCAGUUUUAACUCUCUGCGUACUAUUACAAUGAUUUCCAAUGAAAAAUAUCUCUAACUAAAUCUAAAGAACACCAAAUUAUUACAGAUGCAGCUGGAAACCACCAACGAAACACCACCACCUUCAAAUCUGUCAAAUUGAGAACUAAAUCCACACAUAAAGCUUCACCAUAUAUAACAUACAAUAGUUUUUUAACUAUCAUAUUAAAUCAAAUUCUCUGAAAAUGAGUAAAAACAAAUAAAAACAAAAUGUUAGAGCUUAAAAGCAACAUACGUUGACCGACAGAAGCAACAAGCUCUAGGACUGCAUCUGGGAUAAUUCGGUGUUAGCCCAUGACAUUCUCUUUUUCAAUUAUCCUUACGGCCCAUGAGUGUAUAUGAGGGUAGGUCGACCCUCUGAAUUCUUAUUUGCACAUGUUGAACGUGAACUCCUUAAACCACCAAUAAACUGGCUCAACUACGACAUUUUCCAUGCUUUUUACAAGAUGGAGCAUAUUGUCGUCUAUUAAAUAUAUUAUUUGGUUAAAUUUAUUUGUUGUAAAGGGUGGACACAUGAUUUCGCCGUCAAAAAAGAAAGAAAGAAGUCGACAAAAACAAAGAAAUCAGAUAUGAUUUGCACCUGUACACGUAGUUUCCUGGUAGCUCAGGUCAACAAGGUCAAGUCAAAAGUGAUGAGCUCUUCAUAAUGAGUCGACAAAAAUGUGAUUUAACAAAUACAGCAUUAAUACUACCCAAAUAGAGGCACCUUUUCUUGAACCGGAUUUUUUUUUCUAAUGAAGAUAUACUAUAUUAUAUAAGUGAAACUUUAACUAGACAAAUAAGAAUAUUGGUGAUGAUAUCACAUGGACCUUCACGUGAUUCUAAUAUUCAAUUUUGCCUGGUUGGUCGUCAGAUAGUGCUGGUGGAACCUCGACGGAUUUUUGGAUAAAAUUCGAUUAUACGUACCAAUACCAUUGGGGUCCUAACUCAUUAGUAUUAUUUUUUUAAAUUGUUUGUCUUGCCAAAUAAAAAUUUAUAUGGUUUGUAUUAAGACUGGACAAAUUAGUUUUUUUUUUUUUUUUGCUAAAUAGACAAAUUAGUUGGAAUCAAAAUACCAUACCGAAUUUAAACAAGAGAUCAUAAAUUUCCACGUUCAAAAAAUAAUAUAAAUUUCUAACAAUAUUUUUAAUAUUUUAAGUAUUCCAAAUGAAAAUCAAAUAUAGAUCCAAAGCAUAAUGUACAUUCAAAAAAAUAUAUUUCUUGUAUUAGUUUAAAUUUAAAAAUUUAAAUUAUAUUCAUCAGUUCAAAAUUUUAAUUAGUUUAAUGAAAAUAUCAAAACUAUUUGAAGUUAUCUGAAAUUAUUAUUUAAAUCAUCCAAAAUUAUUUUAAAAUAUUAAUACUAAAUGAAAUUUAACUUUAGUCUAUAUUUUAAUUAUUCAAAAAAUUGAAAUAAUAUGUUGUUUAUUUUUUUUAUUCCUUGAUUUUCAGUUUUUUAUCCGAAUUAACAAAAAUAUAUAUUAAAUUUGAAAAAUAUCCAAUUUUUUAAAAAAAUCUAUAUAUAUUUAUAAUAAUAUAAAAUUUUAAAACAAAAACGCUAACCAAACAAUAACGGACAGAUAAAUACUCAUGCUAUACUAUCACAUUUUUUGAAAUGGUCGAUAAAAACUGAACGUGGUAGAAAGGAACAAGUGUCCAGGUACAUUUGCAAAAGAGUCCUUAAAGUAAUCAGAUUGGUCUUUAAAAAGAGCCUCCAUACUCGCACUUCUACUUCCACUUCAAAACAGAAUCAACUAUCCAAUUCUCUCUCUCUCUCUCUCUCCCUCCAUUAGAGAAAAGCUUGAACCAAAGCAAAUUCACAUUUUAAUUCUCCUUCAAUGGCCUCCAUGUCCACCGCCUUCCCCAAAACAACUCCUUUCCUCUCUCAUCCUCUCGCCAAAUCCGAUUCCCUGAUCGCAACCACCGUUUCAUUUCCCUCCAGCUCGAGAUCUCGCAGCCUCCGAAGAGCCACCCUCCGCGUACGAUCCGCGCUGAUCGAGCCAGACGGCGGGAAGCUGAUGGAGCUUGUGGUCCCGGAGCCGCGACGAAGGGAGAAGAAGCACGAGGCGGCGGAUUUGCCGAGAGUGAAACUUACGGCGAUCGAUUUACAGUGGAUGCACGUGUUGAGCGAAGGCUGGGCAAGUCCGCUUAGAGGGUUUAUGAGGGAAGCUGAGUUCCUUCAAACUCUUCAUUUCAAUUCGCUUCGUCUCGACGACGGAUCCGUCGUCAAUAUGUCUGUACCUAUCGUUCUUGCCAUCGAUGAUGAACAGAAAGCCCUCAUCGGAGAAUCGAAACGUGUCGCGCUUGUUGAUUCCGAUGAUAAUCCAAUCGCUAUUCUCAGCGAGUAAGUUCAUCCCUCCCUGUUAAUCUUGAUCUGAUGUGGCUUUGGGCUUCGGCCCAGAACCAUCUGAUAUUAAAAGAAAAAAUUGAAGCCCUUUAUAGUUUGCUUUAACAAAUAUAUGUGCUUGUUUGUUUUGGUUUCCUCAGCAUUGAGAUAUACAAACAUCCCAAAGAGGAAAGAAUAGCUAGAACGUGGGGCACGACCGCACCGGGCUUGCCUUAUGCAGAAGAGGCGAUAACCAAUGCUGGAAACUGGCUCAUUGGUGGUGACCUUGAGGUUCUUGAGCCUGUCAAGUACAACGACGGGCUUGACCGUUUCAGGCUUUCGCCAUUCGAACUCCGGAAAGAGCUUGAGAAACGUGGCGCGGAUGCUGUCUUUGCGUUCCAGCUCAGGAACCCUGUUCACAACGGACACGCCCUUCUCAUGACUGACACUCGCCGGAGACUGCUUGAGAUGGGUUACAAGAACCCGAUCCUUUUGCUUCAUCCACUUGGAGGGUUCACCAAGGCGGAUGAUGUUCCUCUAAGCUGGCGAAUGAAACAGCACGAGAAGGUGCUAGAGGACGGUGUUCUUGAUCCGGAGACGACUGUGGUUUCCAUAUUCCCAUCUCCUAUGCUUUACGCUGGUCCAACUGAAGUGCAGUGGCAUGCAAAGGCUAGGAUCAAUGCUGGUGCUAACUUCUACAUUGUGGGUAGAGAUCCAGCCGGAAUGGGUCACCCUGUCGAGAAACGUGAUCUGUAUGAUGCUGAUCACGGGAAGAAAGUACUAAGCAUGGCUCCUGGACUCGAACGGCUCAACAUUCUCCCUUUCAGGGUAUAUUUAAAUCUGCAUACUCAACCUCGGUAUCUCCUUCAAAGAUUUAAGGCUUUUGAGUUCUGAUUUUUCUGGUUUCGAUCUAUUUAGGUUGCUGCGUACGAUAAGACACAAGGCAAGAUGGCCUUCUUUGAUCCAUCGAGGGCUCAAGACUUCUUGUUCAUCUCUGGCACUAAGGUAACUACAACUUCUCAGACUCAUUGAGACAUAAUAGAGUACAGAGUGUUCUGUUUCUGAUUAAAACUUGAAUUUGGUUUGGUUCUAUAGAUGCGAGGACUGGCAAAGAACAAAGAAAGCCCACCAGAUGGAUUUAUGUGCCCCGGAGGCUGGAAAGUGCUUGUUGAUUACUACGAUAGUUUGAGUCUAUCCGGAAAUGCCAGACUCCUGGAAAAGGUUCCGGUUUAAGACAAGAGUAAACCCAUUUCUUUGUUUUGUUUUGUUUUGUUUUGUUUUACUUUGUGUUGUAAAUUAAUAACGUGCUAGUUUCUCAAAGAUCAACAUUAUGAUCGAACUGUCUUAUUCUAAGGUUUGGAAAAAACUUAACAUGAAAAACGGUGUUGAAAUUUUGAAAUAUACAAGAACUGGCACUUUUUUGGACUUACAUUUUUGACCUUUCUGGAUCCAUUUGCGCGGAUAAACACACUCGCAGCCUAAAUUACCAACAUCUAUUUGGUUGUGUACAUACAAUACAUUUGUGUGUUGUAGACGUGCUAUAUGGCAACAGAUGCGUGAUUGCGUAUGUUUAGUACAAAAAUUUGGUUAUAUGUGCUUUUGGGAAUUGCUUACUCAUUGGUUCAAGACAGAAGGUCGAAAAGAAGAAAAAGGUGACUUACCGCCGGAAGCUGAUCAAACUUGUACAAGUAAACAGUGUAUAUAUGGCGAUUAUCAUAUCCAAGGAAUCAGGCCCGGCGCUUAGGGAUGUGCUGACGGUGCAGUUGCACUAGAUCUAAAAAAGGCAACACUUUUUAUUUAGUAUUUAGGGCAUUUUUCAAAACUGUUGGGACCUUCGUUAAAAUUGUUCUUAUGAAACAAAUUACACAUGGCUCACAAAACGAAUGAGCGGAGCCUCGAAGGGGUAGUGGACAUCCCUAAACAUGGGUCUUUAUUAGAAACAAACUAAACAUGGGCUCAGAGCCUUAAAUCAUAUUAAUAUUCUUUUGAGGGGAAAAUAUUUAAAGAAAACCAAAAUUUCUAUUAUAUAUUAAGUAUAUAUGAUUGUUUCAGUAUAUUUUUGGUAUUACAGAUAUUUUUUUAAAGUUUUUCAGGUAUAAUUUUGAGUUUCAAGUAAAAUUUGAGAUUUAUAAAAUUAUAAUUGGGGUAAUCGGAUAAAAUUUUGGAUAUUUUUAUGUCUUCGGGUCAGAUUUUAGAUAAAAUUUCAAAAUAUUUUUUGGUAUUUUUUUUUGUUUUUAGGUAUAUUUGGGACCGGUAAACGGAGACAGACGCGUUAUCAUGCUCACAAGGAAAAAAAAAUAGAAAAAUAGAAAAGAACUCUUUGAGUGGUUUUCUACUUUUCUGAAUCUAACUUCGUCCAUGUCGAUGAUUUUGCAUUCCAUCUUCAUGUAUCACCAAUUCGUUAGAACCAAUAUUUAUUCAUAUAUGCUUCUUUCUUCGAAUUUUUAGAUCCGUAGUGGAUCAGAGAUAAUGCCUUGCCACUUACUCUUUUCUUUCCUCUCUUUGAUGAUCUCAAAUGCGACACUGGCAUGCAAUUCAAAAAGAAAGUUUUAAUUGCAUUUUAGAGGUUGGGUUGCUUGAAAAUGAAAUUGAUCUCCGGAACAAGUCAAAAAUUGCAAGGGAUCUUUGCCGGUCGAUGAGAGAAGUGAUCUUCAAGGACGGUUGAACUUUGAAAUUGAAACGAACUGUAAGCUUUCUCACAUGAAUCAAUUUAUUGGCAACUUGGAGCAAUAACUACUACAUGUAAAAAAUUUAGAGUUUCAUUUUGGUUUUGACCUUACUAUACUAUUAGAUUUUAUAUUUUAUGUUAAGCAUUUUAAAACAAAUAAACACGUCUUUAUCUCCACAACUAAUAUGGCACUUAUCUGAAGAGAGUUUACCAUUUUUUACAUUGUAAAUUAUGGCAUUUUAUGAACAACCACAUCUUAAGAAUAAGUCAUGUUUAGUCAAAGUCAGUGCUUGACUAAUUAGUAAUGGAUUGAAGCAAUAAUUUUCUAUUUACAUUAGUUGAAGAAAACAAACAAGUUUUGCUUCAUGUUUUUUUGUAUAAUUUAGGAACUUGAAAUCGACAGUGGUUUUGUCUUUCAAGACAAAAAGUCAAGAAUCACAAUGUUGGUUCACACACUACAAGGCUUAUAGGUCGAUCGGAAUAUAUUUUCCGAUGCAGAUUAUAGCAACCGCAAGUAAUUUAGAGCAGUAGCAGAGGUACAUUGAAGAGAAGGGGUUCAACUGACCCCUAUUGACCCUUCUAAUAUUUGCUCAAAAAGAUUUUUCAAACUAAUAAUCAUUUUUUCAUUGUCUAUUGUCUAAAUUUUCAAAAUCAUUUAAUUAUUAAUUUAUUUUUAUGAUUAAUUUUCUUUUUAGUAAUCAUUCACUUUUAUUUUAAUUAAUACUGUAGAUAUGAUUUUCCUUGACUUUACAUAAGCUUACGUUUAACAAUGUUAUAUAAUUUUCAAUGAAAUUUGUAAUAUCUGGAUAUAAUAUGAUUAAUUAUUGUAAUAUGUUUAAUAAUUAUUGUAAUUUAUAUUGAGAUAUAAUCAUGGUAUUGCCCCCGGUAAAUAUUGUGGCUGGCUCCACCACUGAUUUAGCGAUUUAGUUUGGAUAUUUUUCGGACUUGACAUGACCCUAAUCAAAGCAAAAUACGUUGAAAAUAAUUUUACUAAAAACAAAGAAAUGUUAAAGUGGAAAACUUACAAGAUAAAUUAAGAAAGGAAUAUGCUAGAAACAUAGUUUAAAUUUUAAGGGAUCUAAAAAAUAUAAAUGCUAGAAAAAGUUACCAUUCUUUUCUUUCAUAUAGUAGAUUUUAUCUCACAUCAAACAGGUAUGUAUCCAAAAACAGUAUCAAAUACAUAAUGUUUGGAAAAUACUAGAUUUUCUCAUAAAGUUAAAUAGAUUUAAAUAUUUAAUACAAGUUAACCAAUUAAAAUACAAUGAUCAAUGAGAACGCAUAAUUUUCCUUAAAGAAAAAGCCGUAUAUCGUUUAUGGUAACGGCUUUCUAAGUGUCAAUAAAAACACCAAUGGGUGAAAAACAGACAAUUCACAACAGAACAACAACAUGGCUUGUCUGAAUGCAAAACUUCUCUUCUCUUUCCUCCUCGUCUUCCUCCCAACCUUCACGGUUUCCACCUUGUUGUUCCAGGCGAGCAUAUACAUCACAUAGUAAACAUACACACUCUUUUAUACACAUCUUGCGAUUUCGAGUUUGGUGUUUUUGAACAGGGUUUCAAGUGGGAAUCAUGGAUGAAAGAAGGAGGAUUCUACAACUCUCUCCACAACUCCAUCAACGACCUUAGCAACUCUGGAAUCACUCAUGUCUGGCUUCCUCCUCCUUCUCAAUCCGUUUCUCCUGAAGGUCCGUCUAUCCCGUUCCUUGACUUUCACCAUCACCAAAUCUUUCUUUCUGACAAACCUUAAAAUCAUUUUCUCAGGGUACUUACCUGGUAAGCUAUACGAUCUAAACAGCUCCAAGUACGGUUCGGAGACGGAACUGAAGUCUUUGAUCGCAGCACUGAAACAGAAAGGGAUCAAAGCUGUGGCUGAUAUUGUGAUCAACCACAGAACGGCUGAGAGGAAAGACGAUCACUGUGGGUACUGUUAUUUCGAAGGCGGGACUUCCGAUGAUCGUUUAGAUUGGGAUCCUUCCUUCAUCUGUCGUGGCGAUACUAACUACGCGGGUACUGGAAACCCUGACACCGGGGAAGAUUAUAAGCCGGCCCCGGACAUCGACCACCUUAACCCCAGGGUUCAGAAAGAGCUGUCGGAAUGGAUGAAUUGGCUCAAGUCUGAGAUCGGAUUCAGUGGUUGGAGAUUCGAUUUUGUUAGAGGCUAUGCAGCUUCCGUCACCAAAUCAUACGUACAGGUCAGCCUUUACAUUUCUCUGUCUCUUCUUCUAAAUAGAGAUUGGUUUAGAGAUUUCGAUACAAAACUAUGGUUAGAGUGUCGGUUAAUUAUUUUACUUAAUUAGUUUUGGUAGGCUUGGCACCAAAAGAACUAAACCGAACCGAAUUAGGUAGGAGAUAUCAAACCGAAUCAAUAAUCAUAAUUAUCUUAAUUAUUAAUCCUUCUGUUUCAUGAAAAAUGUCAUUUAGCUCUUUUUUUUUCAAAAAAUAUCAUUUUUACAUUUCCAAUGUAAAUUUUCACAUUAAAUCAUAUUUUUACCCUUUUUAAAUGAUCAAUAGAUAUUUAGUUAAAUAUUUUUAUUUAUAUAAUUAUAUAAAAAUAAUGGUAGAUCAAUAUAUUUUGUUAGUUUCUUAAUCUGCAUGGAAUAUAUUUAAAUGACACUUAUUAUGAAAAAUAAUAAAUAUUAUUUUAUAUAUGUAUAUACUAUAUACUAAAUAUCUGAGGCGAAACUGAAGUCACUGAACCCAUAACUAAAAAGAUAACUUAAUAUGAUUUUAAAUCUAAAUAUAUCAAUUACGUUUAAAUUUAGAAUAAUUAAAUUUCUAACAUUGCCAUUUAUAAAAUAUGUAUAUCUGAAAAUAUCUAUAACAUAGGAAACACUGAAUUAUUAAAAUUAUUCAGAUUACUAUCCUUAUAUAUUUUAUUCAAAAUAUCUAAAAUAACUGGAAUUACUUUACAUUUUUAUAUGAAGAAUCCGAACUACAUGAUAUAUUACAUAAAUUAUCUAAAUUAUCCGAAAAAGCAAGCCAAACUGAAUCUGUAUUUUUUUUUUUGGAUAUCAGCAUGUUCUUAAUCUAUACUAUUAAAGCAGGAUCCUAUUGUCAUAAUUACCUUAGGGGCAUGUUUCCUUCACUAACAUUACAUGUUUCAUUAAGGGUAAUUAAGUAAUAUUAAUAACAAAUCUAUAUUGGGUCAUAUUUUUGGAUCCAGCCCAAAUCAAAUCUCUCUUGGGCCAUUUGGACCUAUUAAAAAAUCAGAUUCAAUUCUCACUUUUUUUUUCCUUUGGGCCAUUGAGUCCAAGUUCAAAUAAUUUUUUUUCAACUAUUCUUAAUUAUUAUUUUUUUCUUUUCUUAAUAUAAUUUAAGCAUUCAUAAAAAUAAUUGAAUUUUUUUAUUGAAAAGUAUAAAUCUUUAUUAAAAGUAUAUAAUUUUUAAUUAAAAUAUUAACCCCAUAAUAAAAUUAAUUUAUCAGAGUUAUAUCAACUUAAUUCAUUAAAAAAAUAAAGUUUAAUUUUUUUAACAUAAAUAGUCAUUUAAAAUGAAAUACGAUAAAUAAAGAUAAAAUUUUUAAGUCUUUUAUAAAAUAAAACACAAAUAUAUGAAAAUGUGACAUUUACUAAAUAUUUAUCAAUUGAAGAAAAAAACAAAAAUAAACCCGCGCUUUGAAAGCGCGGGUCAAAAUCUAGUUUUAUUAUUAAAAGACAAACCAAAUUGAGAACUAUUCAAACCGAAAUUUCCUUGGUCCUUUAGCGGAUAAUAAACACCCUGGUAGCCAAAAUAGUCGAUCUAAAUCGAACCGAAUAGCCAAAGCCAAACAUAAGUUUUGGUGGUAACAUUUGUUCAAAAAGAAAAUCGAAGAUUUAGACUAAGUUUCUCUUAGCCUAGUAUUUUUAAAAGAUUUCAGAUUAAAUUUUGAAGUUUGUUUUCUAUUAAUAAAUAGAGAUUACUAUAACGUCAAAAAGAGUAUACAAAUUUCAUUAGAAACAAAAGACCUAACCAAAUUACACCACCUUAACCAUUGUCUGAGCAAGUGAUCAGAUUUAAGCUGCAUAAGUUUUGUUGGUAGAUAAAAGUUGAGAGUUGUAUAGUUUUGAAAAAUCGUAUUGUGGGAGUACGUACUAUCAGUGUUUCCACUGCAUUAUCACAAAAUCUUGUUAAUUGCAGAAUACUUCACCCGAUUUUGCGGUUGGUGAGAAAUGGGACGAUAUGAAGUACGGAGGAGAUGGUAAACUGGAGUAUGAUCAGGAGGAGCAUCGCUCGGGUCUUAAACGCUGGAUCGAGGAAGGUGGUGGUGGUGUACUGACAGCUUUUGAUUUCACGACCAAAGGGAUCUUACAGUCUGCAGUAGGAGGUGAGCUUUGGAGGCUAAAAGACUCUCAGGGAAAGCCACCCGGUCUUAUCGGAAUCAUGCCCGGAAACGCAGUGACGUUCGUAGAUAACCACGACACUAUCAGACCAAACUCGUGGGCUUUUCCUUCGGAUAAAGUCUUGCUUGGAUACGUUUAUAUUCUUACUCACCCUGGCACCCCUUGCAUCGUAAGUAGAUUUCAUUAAAACUCCUUAAUUCUUGUCUACUUUUGUAUGAAAGUCUUCUUGCUUGGUUUGUUAGUUUCUGGUUUGGUCAUCGGUUUAGCUUUCGGUUUACUAGUUUCAUAGAAAAUUACAUUACUUCGCUUUCAGUUUGAUACUUUUGUUUGGUUUUGUCUGUUACGGGUUUAGUAUUGGUUCGGUUUUAGAUAAAGGAACAACUUGUUUUUGGUUUUGUUUGGUUACACAAAAUCAAGUUUUGCAGGCUCGGUUUUGGUAAGAUAAUAAACACAUUUGUUUAGUUUCUGCAAGCCAUUUCAUUUCAGAUUCCAAAACGGUUUGGGUAUAUAUUGCAGUUUUUAAUGUAGUUAUCCAGUAUGCAUGACGUGAUGUUUAUUGUCGCAGUUUUAUAGCCAUUACAUCGAAUGGGGUCUAAAAGAUAGUAUCUCGAAGUUGGUGGCGAUCAGGAAUAGAAAUGGUAUUGGUAGUACAAGCUCUGUUAUGAUCAAAGCGGCCGAGGCGGAGCUCUACUUGGCUAUGAUUGAUGAAAAGGUUAUCAUGAAGAUUGGGCCAAAACUGGAUAUAGGAACUCUCGUUCCUCCAAAUUUUGUUUUAGCUUAUUCAGGUCUUGAUUUUGCUGUAUGGGAGAAGAAGUGACACAAUUGUUCGAUUUCUCCAUAAGUAAAAAAGAGAGUAAUCAAUGUAUGUUUUUCCUUAAAAGAAAAAAGGACGGUGGUACUAAGAUAUAUAGUUUAAUGAAAUAAAUGACGAAUAAACUCCCUAAAUAAAAUAACCAGAGUUUCUAAUCUAAUGAUUGGCAGUUUUGCAAUAUACUAAUGUCAUACCGCUCACACCAAAUUGAAUUUUGCGUAUCGCGACAAAUCGAUAUAUUCCCUAAAGCUGCUUCGAUAUCUACAAAGUAAACUAGUGUGGUGAUCCGCUCCUGCGUGGAAUGAAAAAAUUAAAAGAUAUUAUAACUUUUAAUCAACAGAUAUUAAAAAUAGAACCGAUCUUAGGCUAACCUUAACGAAACAUUGAUUCAUUUAGGCCCCAAAAUUUUUGAAAAAAAAUUAUAUAUAGAUACAGCCGGGAUAGCUUUCAAGCUCUUCAAAGGAGAGAUACUCGAGGGUGUCUUCCUGAGGUGUGGUCCGGUUGAGAACGUUUACACCCACUGCCUAAAGAUGCCUGAUUACAAGUUGAGACUAGGGUUAGAUUUGUGGUGAUCGAGGCGAGGUGGAUGGAGGUGGAGAAGGAGUUUCAGGCAUUGGCUAGCCUUGAAGGAGACAAACUUGGACCAAUCUCUGAAGAGUGAUCUGCUUUGUUUCUUCAUGUGAUGUUGUUUUUGGGCAAUAUAUUAUCUUGUUGACACUUUAACCAGUCUGAGCUCAAGACAAAGGAAGAUCAUCUAGAAGCUUGGCUCCAUGAAGUUGACGUGUUAGUCAUGUGAAACUAAACAACUCCACCGCUGUUGAAUGAUUUAAGAUGCAAAAAGUGCUAAUUGCACUACAAGAAAACACGCCGAAUUCCGACGGAGAUUCCGACGGACGACACAGCCGUCGGACACUUUGGACGGAAUUCUGACCGAUUUCCGACGAAAACAAAAAAUCUGAAGUCGUCGGAAUUCCGUCGGCUAAUUCCGACGAAUUUCCGAGAAAACAUGGGUCGUCGGAAUAUUCCGACGACUUUUCGACGAUAUUCCGAUAAACAAUAUAACCGUUGUAGUCGUCGAAAAGUCGUCGGAAUAUUCCGUCAAAUUUCCGACGAUAUGCCGAUGAAAAGAUAUAACCGUUACGGUCGUCGGUAUUCCGUCGGUAUUUUCCGACGAAUUUCCGACGAACCAAGUGACCGUUGCCGACAAAUAAAUAUGACCGUUUUAUAGCCGUUCGAGAUUGGAAAAUACUGACGGAAUUCCGACGGAAUGCUUAAUAUCUGUCGGUAUUCCGUCGGAAAGUCGUCGGAUAUCCGUAAGCAAUUUCCUAUAAAUGCAACCCCUCCUCAUUCAUCUCAUUCACACCUCAUUCUCUCUUCUUUCUCUUUAGUCAUAACAAUUCCGUGAAAAUCAUGUCUUCAGGAGCUUAUUAUCGUUCGUGGAUGGAUAAACCUCAUUUGGAUCCCAACACUAAUUUGCUUACGGAAGAAUACGUUCAAGGAAUUGGAGAAUUCAUGAGGCUUGUUCAACAGCAACCGGAUGCAAAAAGUGGUAUGUUAAGAUGUCCCUGCUCUACUUGCAAUAAUAAUAAGGUUAUAAAAGAAUUUGAUGUUUGGACUCAUUUGUAUAUGAAAGGGUUUUCACGUAAUUAUAAAGUUUGGUACCUUCAUGGGGAAACUGGUUAUGAAUAUGGUAGUACUAGCGAACCUCAGCCUGUUAGUGAACUUCAGCCUGAUAUUAGGUUAGAAGAACCUAGAACGGAUAUAGAUUAUGGUGUAGGUACUGAGCAGAUGGUACAUGAUCAUUAUAGAGGGGAAGAACCAAAUCCCGAAUCUAGGAGAUUUUUUGAUAUGUUAGAUGCAGGAAAACAACCUUUGUAUCAAAAUUGUAGAGAUGGUCAUUCAGUCUUAUCAUCUGCAACUAGAUUAAUGGGUAUUAAGACAGACUAUAAUUUGGCUGAAGAAUGCAUGGAUGCGAUUACUGAUUUUGUCAAAGGUAUUCUACCUGAGGAUAACCUUGCACCGGGUUCAUACUACGAGGUUCAGAAACUUGUAGCCGGUCUUCAACUACCGUACGAAGUGAUAGAUGUAUGUAUUGACAACUGCAUGAUCUACUGGAGAGCGGAUGAGACACGAAAUGUAUGCAAAUUUUGUGGGAAACCUCGUUAUCAGGAGACGAGGGGAAGAGUUCCGAUCCCGUUCAUUUGAAGAAGAUGGUCAAAAAUCAAAGCAGGGUGGAAGGAUCUAUAGUGGCACAGGUGAUCAAUGAAGAAACUGCAAUCUUUGCUGAAAAUUAUUUUCCACCAGAAGUGCAUACAAAACACCGAAGACCUGCUCGGCAUGAUGACAGAGGGGAGAGAGCAACAUAUCAUGUUACUGUCCCAAGCAUGUUCAAGGAAAUAGGACGACUUAGCGGAAAAUUCACGAAGCGCAGACUUACGGACACUGAGCACGCUCAUUUGCAAACAUAUUUGCUCACCAACUGUGAAGAUGUUCUACAAUAUGAGAGGUAAAAAUAUUUUUUCAUUUACAUUGUUAGAUUAAUAUUCAAUAAAUUUAUUUCAUAUUGAUAAUAUUUUUGUAUAUAGUGUAUAUAUGGCGGAGUUGCGUAUGACUCACAGGCAUGCAACAGAAGAUGAGCUUCAACAACUUAGAGAUAACGGAUUUGCUGUGUGGCUUCGUAGUUAUGUGAGUCAUAUAUCAUAUUACCCUAUGCAAAUGAGUAGUUUAAAUUUAAUAUAAACUAAUUAACUUUUCACUCAUAUAUGUUUUUAAUUUGUAGGUGAAUGAUGGUUUGGCCAGAGGUUUUGUGUUCGAUGAUUGGAUACGCGAAUUUGUGCAGGGACCAAACUAUGUGGUCAAAUCAUAUCCAAAAUUUUGUACGCGAGGAUAUGCAUUCACAAGGAAAGGUCAUUCUAAGACAACAUAUGAUGCUGGUGUUUCAUCUUCUUCCGGUGACGAUGUCUACUACGGCAACAUAAAAGAAAUAUUGGAAAUCCAAUUUCCUGGAAUGGUUGGAUUGCGUUGUGUAGUAUUCUAUUGUGAUUGGUAUGACACCACCCCAGAUAGAGGAGUGAAGAUUGAUGCGUUUGGUGUUACAUCAGUUCAUUCGCGGCGGAAACUUCAAUACUAUGAUCCCUUCAUUCUUGGUUCGCAAGCUGAUCAGGUAUGUCAAUCUAUUCAUAAUUUUUUUCCAAUACAAUUAAUUAAUGCUAUAUAUUUUACUAAUAUUUGUAUAAUUGAUAUGUAUAGGUAUGUUACAUCAGUUACCCUCGGGUGACGUACAGAGAUGAUCCAUGGGUCACUGUAACGCAAAUCAACCCAAGAGGACGAGUGGAUGGAACUUCUGAUGAUGAUGAACCAUUGCAACCAGAGUCUACCAGCAACGCCCAGGCAGUUGAAGAUUUGGCAAAUGUUGAACUCGUUGAGGAUUUGACUGAGUUUGGACUUGAUGCUGUUGUACAUUCGGAACCAGAAGCUGAGGUUGGGGAGUUUGAUGAAGAUUCAGAAGAUUCGGAUUAGUUUUUUUUUUUUUUUUUUUUCCAUUUGGUCCGUCGGAAAUCCAUCGCAAAAUACCGACGAGAUAGCGACGAUAAAGAGUUUCAUGAAAGUCUGGAGAUGUCCUCGGUAAUUCGUCGCAAUAUACCGACGACAUCCCGACGAACUAACCGAGUUCGUCGGAAUGUCGUCGGUACAGUGCGACGAAUUACCGAGGACAUGUGUUUUUAAAAAGUCCUCGGUAAUUCGUCGCAACAUACCGACGACAUUACGACGAACUCUGUUAGUUCGUCGGGAUGUCGUCGGUAUAUUGCGACGAAUUACCGAGGACAUGUGUUUUUAAAACAUUUCCAACAUAAAAAUCUAUAAAUUUAUAUGCCAAAACUAUGAAAAUAAUACAUAAUAAGUGUUUAGUAUAGUAUUAGAUCGCAACCGUUCAAAUAUAACAAUUCAUAAAAAUAUUUAUGUAUGCAUAUCACAUGUUUUCAUAACAUCUCAUCUUAACACUCAUAUACUUAUACAAUCACAUUCAUCUAAUCUUACACUACAAAAAAUGUUGUUGUAUAAAUUCGUGUUAUCAAAACAUUUCUACUGUUAAAUCUUUAUGAAAAUACUAUAUAUAUUAUCAAAGAUUUGGAUUUUGCUUUUAGAAACUUGUAACCAACCCUUAAACACUAAGUCGUCAGUAUUCCGUCGGAAUGAGUCGUCAGUAUUCCGUCGGAAUAUACUGACGAACUUAAUUCCGUCGGAAUUGUAAUUUACCCGGGAAAACCAAACCGCGUGAAAUUUUCGCGGACCGCCAAUUGAUAUAUAUUUAAUGAUACCGACGGAAUACUGACGAACCCGUAUCCGUCGGAAUUGUUAAAUAUAAUUACUCAUCUUCUUCCUUCUUCGUUAUUUCCGCCUCCGGCUCUCUCUCAAUUCUCUCCGCGAUUUCUCUCCCUUUCACGGCGAUUCCGGCCGUUCUCGAGCCCCCAUCACCGGCGGCCCCCAUUCCGGCCCCCAAUCAUCUUCCCCAAACCCCAAAUCAUGUAAGAAUCAUCCCAACCUUGUUUUAUCCCAAUUUUUUAGGGUUUUGGAAGUUAGAUCUCGGAUUUUAGGUUGUUUGAUUGAAAAUUUUAGGAUUGAAUGGAUAGUUUAGGAUAUAUAAGUUAGGAUUGUUGUUUGGAUUGUUGUUUAAGUUUUUUUUUGGAAUUAUUUUGUGUUUUUGUUAAAAUUCAAAACGUUUUCCUGUUUUUAAAACGUUUUUUGAUUUUUAAAAACGUUUUUCAAGUUUCCAAUAAUAAACUAUGUAUAAUAAAACGUUUUUAAAAAAUUUUAAAAAUAUUUAACAACAUUUUUCUAUAAUUAUAANNNNNNNNNNNNNNNNNNNNNNNNNNNNNNNNNNNNNNNNNNNNNNNNNNNNNNNNNNNNNNNNNNNNNNNNNNNNNNNNNNNNNNNNNNNNNNNNNNNNNNNNNNNNNNNNNNNNNNNNNNNNNNNNNNNNNNNNNNNNNNNNNNNNNNNNNNNNNNNNNNNNNNNNNNNNNNNNNNNNNNNNNNNNNNNNNNNNNNNNNNNNNNNNNNNNNNNNNNNNNNNNNNNNNNNNNNNNNNNNNNNNNNNNNNNNNNNNNNNNNNNNNNNNNNNNNNNNNNNNNNNNNNNNNNNNNNNNNNNNNNNNNNNNNNNNNNNNNNNNNNNNNNNNNNNNNNNNNNNNNNNNNNNNNNNNNNNNNNNNNNNNNNNNNNNNNNNNNNNNNNNNNNNNNNNNNNNNNNNNNNNNNNNNNNNNNNNNNNNNNNNNNNNNNNNNNNNNNNNNNNNNNNNNNNNNNNNNNNNNNNNNNNNNNNNNNNNNNNNNNNNNNNNNNNNNNNNNNNNNNNNNNNNNNNNNNNNNNNNNNNNNNNNNNNNNNNNNNNNNNNNNNNNNNNNNNNNNNNNNNNNNNNNNNNNNNNNNNNNNNNNNNNNNNNNNNNNNNNNNNNNNNNNNNNNNNNNNNNNNNNNNNNNNNNNNNNNNNNNNNNNNNNNNNNNNNNNNNNNNNNNNNNNNNNNNNNNNNNNNNNNNNNNNNNNNNNNNNNNNNNNNNNNNNNNNNNNNNNNNNNNNNNNNNNNNNNNNNNNNNNNNNNNNNNNNNNNNNNNNNNNNNNNNNNNNNNNNNNNNNNNNNNNNNNNNNNNNNNNNNNNNNNNNNNNNNNNNNNNNNNNNNNNNNNNNNNNNNNNNNNNNNNNNNNNNNNNNNNNNNNNNNNNNNNNNNNNNNNNNNNNNNNNNNNNNNNNNNNNNNNNNNNNNNNNNNNNNNNNNNNNNNNNNNNNNNNNNNNNNNNNNNNNNNNNNNNNNNNNNNNNNNNNNNNNNNNNNNNNNNNNNNNNNNNNNNNNNNNNNNNNNNNNNNNNNNNNNNNNNNNNNNNNNNNNNNNNNNNNNNNNNNNNNNNNNNNNNNNNNNNNNNNNNNNNNNNNNNNNNNNNNNNNNNNNNNNNNNNNNNNNNNNNNNNNNNNNNNNNNNNNNNNNNNNNNNNNNNNNNNNNNNNNNNNNNNNNNNNNNNNNNNNNNNNNNNNNNNNNNNNNNNNNNNNNNNNNNNNNNNNNNNNNNNNNNNNNNNNNNNNNNNNNNNNNNNNNNNNNNNNNNNNNNNNNNNNNNNNNNNNNNNNNNNNNNNNNNNNNNNNNNNNNNNNNNNNNNNNNNNNNNNNNNNNNNNNNNNNNNNNNNNNNNNNNNNNNNNNNNNNNNNNNNNNNNNNNNNNNNNNNNNNNNNNNNNNNNNNNNNNNNNNNNNNNNNNNNNNNNNNNNNNNNNNNNNNNNNNNNNNNNNNNNNNNNNNNNNNNNNNNNNNNNNNNNNNNNNNNNNNNNNNNNNNNNNNNNNNNNNNNNNNNNNNNNNNNNNNNNNNNNNNNNNNNNNNNNNNNNNNNNNNNNNNNNNNNNNNNNNNNNNNNNNNNNNNNNNNNNNNNNNNNNNNNNNNNNNNNNNNNNNNNNNNNNNNNNNNNNNNNNNNNNNNNNNNNNNNNNNNNNNNNNNNNNNNNNNNNNNNNNNNNNNNNNNNNNNNNNNNNNNNNNNNNNNNNNNNNNNNNNNNNNNNNNNNNNNNNNNNNNNNNNNNNNNNNNNNNNNNNNNNNNNNNNNNNNNNNNNNNNNNNNNNNNNNNNNNNNNNNNNNNNNNNNNNNNNNNNNNNNNNNNNNNNNNNNNNNNNNNNNNNNNNNNNNNNNNNNNNNNNNNNNNNNNNNNNNNNNNNNNNNNNNNNNNNNNNNNNNNNNNNNNNNNNNNNNNNNNNNNNNNNNNNNNNNNNNNNNNNNNNNNNNNNNNNNNNNNNNNNNNNNNNNNNNNNNNNNNNNNNNNNNNNNNNNNNNNNNNNNNNNNNNNNNNNNNNNNNNNNNNNNNNNNNNNNNNNNNNNNNNNNNNNNNNNNNNNNNNNNNNNNNNNNNNNNNNNNNNNNNNNNNNNNNNNNNNNNNNNNNNNNNNNNNNNNNNNNNNNNNNNNNNNNNNNNNNNNNNNNNNNNNNNNNNNNNNNNNNNNNNNNNNNNNNNNNNNNNNNNNNNNNNNNNNNNNNNNNNNNNNNNNNNNNNNNNNNNNNNNNNNNNNNNNNNNNNNNNNNNNNNNNNNNNNNNNNNNNNNNNNNNNNNNNNNNNNNNNNNNNNNNNNNNNNNNNNNNNNNNNNNNNNNNNNNNNNNNNNNNNNNNNNNNNNNNNNNNNNNNNNNNNNNNNNNNNNNNNNNNNNNNNNNNNNNNNNNNNNNNNNNNNNNNNNNNNNNNNNNNNNNNNNNNNNNNNNNNNNNNNNNNNNNNNNNNNNNNNNNNNNNNNNNNNNNNNNNNNNNNNNNNNNNNNNNNNNNNNNNNNNNNNNNNNNNNNNNNNNNNNNNNNNNNNNNNNNNNNNNNNNNNNNNNNNNNNNNNNNNNNNNNNNNNNNNNNNNNNNNNNNNNNNNNNNNNNNNNNNNNNNNNNNNNNNNNNNNNNNNNNNNNNNNNNNNNNNNNNNNNNNNNNNNNNNNNNNNNNNNNNNNNNNNNNNNNNNNNNNNNNNNNNNNNNNNNNNNNNNNNNNNNNNNNNNNNNNNNNNNNNNNNNNNNNNNNNNNNNNNNNNNNNNNNNNNNNNNNNNNNNNNNNNNNNNNNNNNNNNNNNNNNNNNNNNNNNNNNNNNNNNNNNNNNNNNNNNNNNNNNNNNNNNNNNNNNNNNNNNNNNNNNNNNNNNNNNNNNNNNNNNNNNNNNNNNNNNNNNNNNNNNNNNNNNNNNNNNNNNNNNNNNNNNNNNNNNNNNNNNNNNNNNNNNNNNNNNNNNNNNNNNNNNNNNNNNNNNNNNNNNNNNNNNNNNNNNNNNNNNNNNNNNNNNNNNNNNNNNNNNNNNNNNNNNNNNNNNNNNNNNNNNNNNNNNNNNNNNNNNNNNNNNNNNNNNNNNNNNNNNNNNNNNNNNNNNNNNNNNNNNNNNNNNNNNNNNNNNNNNNNNNNNNNNNNNNNNNNNNNNNNNNNNNNNNNNNNNNNNNNNNNNNNNNAAUACCGACGGAGUAUGACUCGUCGGUAAAUACCGACGGACUAUGAUUCGUCGGAACAUACCGACGAAUGGUGAGUCGUCGGAAUUUACCGACGAAUCGUAAUCCGUCGGUAUUUACCGACGAGUCAUAUUCCGUCGGUAUUUACCGACGAAUCAGACUCCGUCGGUAUUUACCGAGAACUUAGUUCGUCGGAAUCUUCGGAGGAUCCGUCUCCGUCGGUAUAUAGUUUUUCCGAUGAACUCUAGUCUCGUGUGUCCGCAUCGGAAUAUUGUCGGAAGUUCGUCAGAAUGUUAUUUCUCGGUAUUCGUCAGAAAGUCGUCGGAAAUUCUGACGAAAUUCCGACGAAUUCUUUUUUUCCGACGAAAUGAUACCGACGUCGUCAGAAAUGCGUCGGAAUAGGCCUUUUCCGACGAACUUCCGACGAUUUUGGCCAUCAGAAUCUCUUUGUUUUCUUGUAGUGUUGCAACAUAGUCUUUUGUUCCUUUUCCCUGCUCUUCAGUUUUUCUUUACACCAUAUUGUUGAGGAUUUUGCUUAUUCCCAAUAGACUAUCCCUGUAGUAGACAGUAGACAAUAGACACUAAACGUACAAACCUUCAUGACAACAAGAGGCGAAAUCUCCCAAACACAAAAGUUCUUCAACUUACUAGCAUGUAUAAUAAUAUUAAAGUCAGAUAAAUUUAUCAAUAUACAAUAAAUGUUGUAGAGAACAAAAAAAGGUAAUUCACAUAAAUAGACCAUUUUCAAGUUUUGGUCACAAAAAUAGAACACAAGGAGAAAAAUUACCAAAACGUUUCAUUUAAUAGGUAAAAUGAUACUAAUACCCUAGAUGUAUAAAAAAAAUAAAAAAAAUUUAAUAGUUUUAGAUUAUAUGUUUUCAAAUUCAAACUUUUCUAUAUUUUUUUUUUCUUUGAAUUUUUUUUUAUUUUGUUUUCAAAUUUUUUAUUUUGUAAUUUGAAAAUACUUUUUGAAACUAUUUUAAAAAUUUUUAUUUUCAAUCUUUUAAUAUUUAUUUUCUAUUUUAUAAAAUUUUAAACCUCAAAACUCAAAUCUCACCACUUAACUCUAAACCCUAAGGUUUAGAUUAGUUAACCCUAUGGGUAUAAGUGUAUAUUUACCUCUUUAAUAAAACAUUUUGGUCAUUUUGAUUCUUAGAGUCUAUAUUUGUGAUAUAAAUUUUUUUAGUGAUAUCCUAGGGUAUUUCCAAAAAAAAAAAAUCUGUUAUGUUUUAAGUGAAAUCAAUAAUUAAGUAAGGAUGUAUUCAUCUUGUGGGCAUAUAUAAAAUGUAUUUUCUGUGAACACAAAAGAAUUAAAGAUUACUAAAUUUUGAGUAAAAUAAGAUAAAUUUAGGAGAAAUUGCUGAAAUAUAUUACGAAAAAUAUCACUUUUAAAAAAAAAAUACAUUAAUUUUAGUUAUUAUUGAGUUUAUAAACUUAUAUAAAUAUUCUUAAACAUUAGAAAUAAUUUAGGAGGAUUAGUUUUAUCUUUUUCAUAAUAAAUUAUAUAUAUGAAAUUGUUAUUAUUUAAAAGGAAAUUUAAAAAAUGGUAUCAAAUUCGAAGUGAAAUUAUAAUUUCCCCAAGUUUGAAACAGUUUUAAAUGAAAAGUUUACAUUCCAUAUGGUCUCAUAAUGCGGUGUAGCCGUGUAGGGUCCCAAGUCCUUGCAAACUAACGCCAACUAAUAAGCCAUUUGAUUAAUUUAAUAUUAUCCCAAACACUACAAACUGGUUCCCGGAACCUUCUCCUACCGCCAGAAGCCCCUUAUUGCUGUCAGGUUGGUUUCAAUUUCGUUGAUGUUCUCAGAGAUUUGAUAUAUUGAAAAGUGAAUACAGGAGAUAAUACAUGGGAAACAACAACGCAACCAGCAAUUUAACAGGUAAAACAGACAACGCAUCUCCUUUUUUAGAUUAAUAUGUUUCUGACUGAAUAUUAUUUGUGUAUUUGCAGAAGAGUUCUGCUCAAAGCUAGCAACCAAUGGGAUCUCUACGCUGGAGUCUAUUCCCCUAAAAACCACGCUAGAUAUCAGGUCUGAGGUUCUGUUUGUUUCUUGCCUGAAAAUCAACGAAGUGCAAGAAGCUACUGAAGAAAUAACUGAAAGCAGCAAAGAAGCUAGACUUGAGAUGCGAUCUCCCAGCUUUAGUAAUUACCUAAAAGUCGAAGAAAGAAGAGAUAAAUCAAAGGAGAAAACUCAAUUACUAUCUAAAGACAAGACUGAGACAGACAAGGCAACACUCGAUGUGGAAGAGGAAACUGUGAUGCUAAAGAGAAGUGAGACUGAGAAAAGAAGAGGCUUUGAGCUGUCUCUUGGGCUGUCUAUGAAACCCACUCGAAGAUCUGACGCAGUUGAUAGCUUCAAAGAAACCAAGGGCUCAGGACAUAACUUGGUGAACAAGAAAGCCAACACGCCUGAGACUCUGCUUAUUUCUUCUGUGAGAAGCAGCAAAGCACAAGAAACUACUGAGGUGAUAACUGAAAGCAACAAAGAAGCUCUGAUUCAGAUGCGAUGUCCUAGCUUUGGAAAUGAUCUGAGAACCAAAGAAAGAAGCAAUGAAUCAACGGAGCAAAUUCUGUUACUCUGCCAAGACAAGAUAGAGACAUAUGAGGCAACGAUCAAUGUGGAAAAGAAAACUGUGAUGCUGAAGAGAAGUGAGUCUGAAAAAACAAGAGGCUUUGAGUUGUCUCUAGGGUUGUCAAUGAAAACCGGUGAUACAUCCGAAGCAGAUAAUAGCCUAAACCUCAAGGAAAGCAAAGAGAACUUGCUGGAAAAGAAAGCUGCUAUGAAAGGCAGAGUUAGAAAAAGGAGCAAAUCUUCGCUCUUCGGAAGUUGCCUCUGCUUUGCCGCCACUGCCAUGAAUUGAACAGAUUUGCAAGGAACAGAUCUGGCCAUGUCUUUCGUUUUACUUUAAAAGGAAUUUUUUAAGUUAUCCUUAGUGUUGUAGAGUUACCAAGCUGAAAGUCAUAAGAAACUUGAAGUAUUUAAGAAAGUAGCUAAAAUUGUUUUUGUUAAAUUAUGAUUUCUAUGUUUUAUAAAGAAUAUUAUUUAAAAGUUAUCACGCAUAUUAAUAAUUAUUUUUAUCUUUUAUUCAUAUAAGAAAUAUUUUCCUCUCUAAUUAAUACAUUAAAACAUUGUGGUUAAAACUGAAUUUUAUUUAAAAUAUAAAAUGGUACUCUUUAUAAAAAAAAAAAUCAUAAUAUGAGCUCUUUAUAAAAUGGAGGUAGUUGGCAAACUUCAAAACGGUUGUUUAGAAUUCUGCUUCAAACUUCGCAUUUGAUGACAAAAUGUUUUUGUUUGGAGGUAACUUAGUGUAUGUUUCACUUAACUAUUCAAUCAGAGUAAACCAAAUGCAUGAAACUCAUCACAUGAAGAGUGGAAUUAAUACACUGUAUAAAAAGAGAAAUCAAUUAACCAUAAAGAGAAAAUGUGAAGGUUCAACGUUAUGUGAUUCAAUUUAUGACACUUGCUCUUAACUUGGAGGUUUCUCAGUAACUUUCUGGGCAAUCCAACCAAGCCCAUCAUGCAAGCCUUCUCCAGUGACUGCACAGCUUGCUUGAAUGUGCCAAUCAUGGUUCUUGAUGCUGUGAAGGUUAAGCGCGUCCGUGAUCUCAGCUGGGCUCAUAGCAUCCUUGAGGUCCUGUUUGUUUGCAAAGACGAGUAUGACCGAGUUGUGAAGAUCCUCAUGCCCGAGUAAUCUGGAUAGCUCAUCUUUCAUUAAAGAGAUUCUGGCUCUGUCUGUGCUAUCGAUAACCACGAUUACAGCGUUCGUUCCUCUGUAGUAAGUUGCCCAUGAUGUUCUGAGCCUAUCUUGCCCACCAAGAUCCCAAACCUAACGACAAGAAUAUUGUAAAAAAUGCACAAUGCAUCAAAUUAAGUGUGUGGCAAUAUGAUUAAACUUCGAGAUUUGUGAAGCCUUCCACAAACCAUGGAUAUAAUUUAAAGAAAAACAGAAACAGAGCAUCCAAUUCAAUAUAGAGGAACACGUAGAAACAGUUGAGUUUAUGUCCUUGCAAUGAAAUAGAGUGGUGCCAAUAUGAAUAAAGUUGAAAGCUUUGAGCUUGUGAAGGGCAAGAACAUAUAGAAACAGUUCAAAUCUAAACUAUGUUCUCGCAAUGAAACCAAUAAUGCUCAAGAAUUAGAUUUGGAAGAGAGGUUGAGGGUACCUCGAAGCGGAUGUUCUUGUAAACGAGCUCUUCGACAUUGCUUCCAACGGUAGGAUGAGUGGUGACAACUUCACCCAAGUGAAGCUUAUAAAGCGUCGUCGUUUUACCGGCGUUAUCCAAACCAACGACAACGAUCUUGUACUCUUUCGCAGGGAACAUCAUGAACCAAAACCUCGAUGCGAAUGCUCCCAUCUCUCUUCUGACUUUUCCACAUAACAACAACAUAAUCAUAGUUUUUAAUAUUUCUCUAAAGAUACAGUUUUGAUUUGAGUUUUCACGAGAACAAUCUGUUAAUCCCAGAUCGGAUUUAAUUUGGGUAUUAACGAUCCAAAGAUAUCUCUAAUAACGAUCGAGAAUCAAAACCUGGAUUUAGCAAGUGGCGGAGGCAACGGCGAUCGAUCUGGGUGCUUGGUUUGAUCUGAAUCGGGAAAAGAUGUAAAUUUUAGUUUUGGGAGGUUGCUUGCUUAUCGAUCUGGGUGGGUGGUGGUAUCGUGGGAUAGUAGGAAAAGUAUACGAGAAUUAAAGCACAAAGUAUAAAAAAGAAUAAUAACAAAAUAAAAAGGAAGGAUAUCUCCGGAAUAAAAGCUACAUGAUGUUUUUUUUUUUGGUAGGCAGUAGGACCCGAAGACCCGAACCGAAAAAACGGGCUCGGGUAAAUUCGGUUCUUCAGAAAUACCCGUUUGGGUUUUGUAUUUCACUAUGUUUGGGUUACGGUUCGCUUCGGUGAAUAACCGAUACUCAUUUGAGUAUCCGAUUGAACCGAAGCAGUAAGUAAAACAUCACGCCCGACCGUAAAGCAUUAAGCUUUAAUUCUUUGAUUCUUUCAAUCCACCUCUUCCUCUUCAUGGAGACGGCGACACCUCUCGAGAACGUCGAUCGUCUCUGAGAGAAUCGAAACCGAAUCACAUAAACUCUACAUCUGAUUCUCUAUAAAUGGAGAGUCUUGAUCGAUGCAGCUCUUUCACAAUUCACAGCGAAACAAGAACUCAGUCUAAGGUUUACAAUCAGAAACCCUUAAUUCUUAUUUCUAUUUUUCGAUUGAUUCUUAAUACGUUCGUAUUUGAUCUCUAGUUUGAUCGAUCUUUCAUUAUUGUUCUUCAAUCACGGUUCAUUGUUGUUGACUGAUUCUCUUGUUUUUAUUUUGUAGAUGGAUUCAUCAACAACUCCGAAUGGAAAAGACAAUGGCAAUUAAAGAGAGCAUGAGAUAGAUGGAACACAACAAGAGUUUUCAACUCCUGAUAGUAGAGGAAAAAGAAAAGAAGUCCCCGGCUUAAGCAGAGCUACGUCUCAACCAGAGAAGGCAACUAAGACGAUUAGCGUACGGUCAAGUGUUUGGGAACACUACACAAGGACGACAGAGAAUCAAGACAAAUGCGUCUAUCACUAUUGCAAGACGACGUUCGCUUGUCCAACCAAAUCAGGGACGUCUAACCUGCAGAAACAUCUUACCACCUGCAAACAUUACAAAGCUUGGGAAGAGGGAAUGGUUCGUACUCAGCCUGCGAUCAAUGAAGAUGGUUAUCUGAAGGACGCCAAGGUUUCAGAAGCUGUGGUAUGGGAAGCUACAAACGAGAUGCUUGUCAUUGGUGAGCUGCCACUUUCCUUUGUUGAAAGCUUAGCAUGGAAGUGGUUAUGCAACAAAGUGAAUCUGCCCAAGCCACAGUCGAGGAGGACUGCAACAAGACACAUUGUUGAGAUGUAUGUGAAGAAGAAAGCUGCAUUGAAGGAAUGGUUCAAAGUUAACAAACAGAGAGUGUCUCUUACAACUGAUAUAUGGGUCGCUCAAGCUACAGGUAAUGGUGCUAGUUUUCCCUAGCUUAGUAUUUGUUUAUGUCUGAUUUUAUAUAUAAGAUUCAAGACUAACUUGUGUUUGUUUGGUUUCGUAUGGGUGCUAGUUAUAUGGUGAUCACAGCUCAUUUCAUUAAUGCAUCUUGGAAACUGAAGAAGCUGAUCCUCGGCUUUAAGUACAUCACUGAUCACAAAGGUCAGACCAUUUCAACAUUUCUACUUGAGUGUUUAGCUGAUUGGGGUAUAGAAAAGAUUUCUGCAUCCAUUUCUCUUGCCCUCCGUCUAACGCCUAAUCGGGCGCCUAGGCGGUUAGGCGUCCGCGUUUUUGAACAGGGCUUAUAACUAAUCAAUUAUCACUUAUAACUUUUAUAUAAUAUUUUCUUGACAAUGCUUUUCUUUAUAACUUGUUUCAGUGUUUGAUUCUCAAGCAACACAAGAAGAAUGAGUCAAGGAGGAGCUUUGGAGAAAUGGAUGAUGCGCUUUGAGUUGCGGAUGUGGUUGGUUCGUUUCUUUGCAAUAUUUUGAUGUUCUCAGUUUGUUUUUUAGUUUGGUCUCUUGUUGUUUGUUGUUGGUUCUUUGUUGUUUUGAAAACUUGCAUUGCGGUUAAGAAAAGGAUUGGUGUAUGUUUUGUUCCUUUUUCAAAUAUAGAAUAAAAUUUUCAGUUUAAUUAUACCUCUACCUAUGUGUUUCUGCCAUUAUUAUUGUUAUUUCCAAACCCUUUGACUCCUUCAGUCUCGAUUUAUACAAUUCAAACUGCAAUUUUCAAAGUUUGAAACCAAUGAAGUCUUUAUAUUCCAAACUCUCUGUGGUAAUCUUUCUCUAUUCACAAGAGUCAAGAGCCAACAAGAGUAGAAAAUGAUGCGCAGAUCAGCUAUUUGGGAGCACUACACAAGAACAGAAGACAACCAAAACAAAUGUAUAUGUCACUAUUGCAACAACACUUUUGUUUGUGUGCCUAUUUUUGGCACAUCUAACCUCCAUAAACAUCUUCAAAGCUGCAAACAGUUCAAAUUAAGUGUCUAUGUGAUGAGUAUGAAAUGGUGACGUGCUUGAUAUUCAUGUUUUCGUUUAUAACUUACUUGUUUAUAACUUUAUUUCAUAUCAUGAUAUCCAACCAGGACAAGAAGAAUGAACUGAGGUGAUUUAAACUAUGAAAGCAAUGGAGAAAUGGGAUUUUUGUUAAGUAUUAUGGUCAAAUAUUUGUUUUAAGUAUUUUUUUGUUUGGUUAUUUCGGUUACAAAUUGGAACCGAAUGGUUACUUCGGGUAAAUGUAACCACAAUAAUUUCAAGUACAAUGAGUAUUUGGUUACUUUACGGUUCUUCAAUCUCGGAACCGAACCCACCCGAACCCGGUUGGACCCGACUCAAACCCGACCCGUAAUUUAUAUAUACCCAAAUGAGUAUUUGUAUUGGAAACCCAAAAGAACCGAAAUCUGAAAUACCCGACCCGAACCCGAUUGGGUACCCGAACGCCCAGGCCUAGUAGGCAGCUACAAGAUGUUUAAGAACAUCUCCAAUUAGACAUUUCAUUAAAAUCCUCAAAACAUUAGACAAUAAAAAUAUUAUUUUGGUAUUUCACCAAUCAUGAGAAACUUAUACAAAAUUAUUUCAGUUAAGACAUCAUUUUAUUCAAAAUUAAAGCUAUUCAUAUUAGUAAUAUGCACAUUUAUGACCGAAUGAGCUUUAAACACGAUUCUCCAAAUAUUCUACCGAUCAAAAAAUUGUGUAAUAAAAAUAAAAUGAAAAAUUUCAUGUUUACAUUUUCGCUUACACAAAAUAUUUUUAAAAAUCUAUUAAUUAGAAUAUGAGUUUUAAUUACUUUACAAAUUCAACCUCUUAUAUUUUUAGGUAUUUUAAGAUAUGAUUUAAAUUCUUACAUAGAUAAUUGUUCUUUAAAAAAAAGAAAUAAUUUUAAAUUAAAAAUAUUAUAGGGUGAUUAAAUUUUUGAUAUUACACAAUUUAACUUAUCAUAAAUAUAUUAAGGACAGACUAAAAACUAUAAUAAGAAUUAUUAUUUUAUAAUAUAUAUUUUCUUCUUAUGAUAAUUAUUUUUAUUAUUAAUAUUUUUAUAUUAGAAUUGAUUAAACUGCAAUGUAUAAAUAUUUUAAAUAUUUGUUUUAUAUAUCAAUUAUGCCAUUCCGCAAAUAUCUCAGGUCAUAUAAAAAAAUCAUUCUGCAAAUUUUCAUUUUGUAGAGUUUAAAUUGUUCUGUAUAUAUGAGUUGUAAUUGAAAAAAGUAUUAUUUAGAUUUUAGAUCAUUUUUGUUGAAGAAUAUAUAUAUAUAUAUAUAUAUAUAUAUGUUUUAAUCACAGUAAAACAUAAUUCAAGGGUAAUCAAAGUCUUGACCGCCACCAAUUGACCUGCAAUCUGAGGUUCUCAAUUUUGUUGAUGGCGUUGUGAUGGUGUUUGUUAAGAGUGGUUUGGGUUGGUCGGACCGUAUCGGUUAUGUCAUAUCUCGUUGGAGAUUGAGGUUGUUGAGAUAAGGACAAUGUAUUAUAGAUAAGUCUUUGGUAGUUGUAGAUGUAGCCAGAUCUUCCCAAGAAGAUAUUGUAGAGAUGUAUAAGUACUUGACGUAUGUGAAUACAAUACACAACAGUUUCCGUAACACAUUCUCUCUGAGUUUACAUGGUAUCAGAGCUUGUGUGAAAGAUCAAAUAAAAUCAUAAAAAGAGAGAUUGUGAGAGAUGACGAAGGGAGAGAUCACGACUGCAGGUAGCAGCAACAACGAAAUCAGUAUGGGAUCUCCUUACUUUCUGUCGCACUCCGACAAUCCAGGAGCAUCAAUCACUGCAGUCACGUUGACUGGAGAGAACUAUGCUGAGUGGGCAUCGGAGAUGGAGAACGCGCUUCGUGCGAAGCGCAAGAUAGGUUUCAUCAACGGCACCUUGUUGAUGCCUGAUGAGAAUGAGAAACCAGCAGAGGCAGAGUUGUGGAAGACUGUCAACUCCAUGAUUGUGGGGUGGAUAAGAACCUCAAUCUCAGCCACUGUGCGUUCGACUGUGACGUUCACACCGGAUGCGUUCAAGAUGUGGAGCGACCUGAAGAGAAGGUUCUCGAUUGGAAACGCUGUGCGUGUUCAUCAACUUAAAGCAGAGUUGGCGGCUUGCAAGCAAGACGGGUCGGCUGUUUUGGAUUACUUUGGCCGGCUUUCGUCAAAAUGGAAGGAGCUGUUGAGCUAUAAACCUCUUCCGACGUGCACUUGUGGAGUGUCUGAGAAGAUUAACAAGGACUAUGAAGAGGAGAAAGUCCAUGUGUUUCUCAUGGGACUCGAUGAUGCGAGGUUCGGUAAUGUCUGCACCAAUAUCAUUGGGAUGGACCCAUUACCAGACCUGAACUCAGUCUACCAGAGAGUUGUACGAGAAGAACGAAGACUUCUUACGUCUCGCGUGGAGACUAAACAGGACGCUGUUGGUUUCUUGACCAGAUCUGAAGUGACGCAGGGAGAUGGUGCCACCAUAGCCGGGUCAGCAGCUGCUGUUACAAGGAGCCAUGGAGGAGUGAUCUGUUCUCACUGUUGAAGAACAGGACACGAAAAGAAAGAAUGUUGGCAAAUCAUUGGUUUUCCUGAUUGGUGGACCGAAAGGAACCAAGGAGGAGAUCGGACUGGACGUGGAAGAGGAGGCAGCAGAGGUCGUGGACGUGGGCAAGCGCGCGCAAACGCGAUGCAGGCACAAGUCUCAGGAGGGACAAACGUUCCAGCUCUGACAGCAGAUCAGUGGGCAUCGCUCACGGCACUACUGGAACAACAAAAGCCAACUCCAAUUCCAGAGAAGCUCAACGGUAAGAAACAAACCGGAGAGGUUAUACUGGACACUGGAGCAUCACACCACAUGACUGGCGAUGCUAGACUACUCAGCGACAUGCAUGAUGUGGUGGGAUGCCCAGUGCGGUUCGCUGAUGGAAGUCAAGUGCAAGCCACACGAAGUGGUGUACUGCGACUUUCGGAGAAGAUAACACUGCCUCAUGUCUUAUUAGUCCCUGACUUGAACUGCACAUUACUGUCUGUGGCAAAGUUGCUGAAACAGACAGGUUGUCUUGCUAUGUUUUCUGAUACACUGUGUGUUUUGCAGGACCGUUUUACGAGGACCCUGAUUGGAGCAGGUGAAGAACGGGACGGUGUGUAUGUUUAUCGGGAUGUUACAGUCAGGCGAGGUCUCCGAGUUAAGGGAGCAGAGGACAAGGCUUUGUGGCAUCGCAGGCUGGGGCAUCCGUCUUUUGGUGUUUGAGUCAUUUACCUUUUGUUUCUGGUGUUUCGAAUCACUCCGACAAGUUUGGAGGAUGUGAUAUUUGUUUUAAAUCAAAGCAAACUCGUGGUGUUUUUUCAGAAAGUUAUAAUAAAGCUUCAGUUCCUUUUGAAUUAAUACAUGUUGACUUAUGGGGACCGUACAGAGAACCAGCAUCAUGCGGGGCUAUCUACUUUCUAACGAUAGUCGAUGAUUGUUCACGAGCUGUCUGGAUACAUCUACUGUUAGAGAAAUCCGAGGUAAAGACGGUGCUACCCAAUUUUUGUUCUUUUGCUCAGCGACAGUUCGGACGACAAGUCAAAACAGUUCGCAGUGACAAUGGGACAGAGUUCUUGUGUCUGUCGAAGUACUUCGCAGAAAGCGGCAUUGUGCAUCACACUUCCUGCGUGGCAACUCCACAACAAAAUGGUAGAGUGGAAAGGAAGCACCGGCAUAUCCUCAACGUAUCAAGAUCAAUCAUGUUUCAGGCAAAUCUCCCUAUCAAAUUCUGGGGCGAAAGUGUGCUAACUGCAGCUCAUCUUAUCAAUCAAACUCCCUCCAGUCUCUUGAAUGGGAAAUCUCCGUAUGAGUGUCUGUAUGGAAAGUCUCCAUCAUACGACAGAAUCAAAACGUUCGGCUGUCUUUGUUACGCACACAAAUCAUCUCGCAACAAAGACAAGUUCAAAGCAAGGAGCAGAAAAUGCAUUUUCGUCGGGUAUCCUUUCGGCAAGAAAGGAUGGAGGUUAUAUGAUCUGGAAAAUGAAGAAUUCUUUGUGUCUCGAGAUGUGGAGUUCACUGAGUCGUCGUUCCCAUUUCAUGACGAUCAAACCGGCUCUCCUGCGGAGCUCUCAUCUCUGCCUAAGAUAGUUGAGGUUCAUGACUCUAGCGAUCCAGUUCCCGAGUCCAGGGGGAGCAACUCAGAAACGACGGAAGAAGGGUCUCAGGAAGAUACGGGAGAUGUAACAGAGACAGUGGAGUCCACUGGGUCAGCAACAGAGCUCGGAGUGCCGGAAACAGAACCCACUUCGGAGCCUACGGUUACAGAAACAGAGCCACCUGUGGUGGCAGAAGCACAAGAGGACCUUGGUAGAGGUCAUCGUGUUCCAGUGCCGUCAGUCAAGCUACGAGAUUACGUAACAUACAACUCGCAAUGUAGUCCUGAUAAACAAAACACACCCCCAGUUCAUCCCGCUUCGUAUCGGCACUCGGAAACGAGUCCAGGUAAAACCGCUUCCUCAUAUCCCAUUACAGCUUAUGUCACUGAUGCGGUGUUCUCAGAGAGACACCAAGCUUUUCUCGCAGCAAUCUCCGCAGGUGUGGAGCCGCGAAACUGGAGAGAAGCAAUGCUCGAUCCUAUAUGGAACGGAGCUAUGUCGACGGAGGUAGUUGCAUUAGAAGAACAGAGAACUUGGGAUGUUACAGAGUUGCCUAAAGGAAAGAAAGCAUUGAUAUGUCAGUGGGUUUUCAAGUACAAGUACAACGCGGACGGGACAGUGGAGAGACCCAAGGCGCGACUUGUUGUGUGCGGCAACAGACAAGUGGAAGGACGAGACUAUGGGGAAACAUUUGCGCCUGUGGCGAAGAUAACGACAGUUCGCACGUUGUUGGAAGUAGCAGUUGCGAAGAACUGGGAGGUGCAUCAGAUGGACGUGCACAAUGCAUUUCUGCAUGGAGACUUGGAGGAAGAAGUGUAUAUGAAGAUGCCUCCAGGCUUCUAUGGCGACAGUCCCACGAAGGUGUGUAAACUGAGAAAAUCCUUGUAUGGUUUGAAGCAGGCUCCGCGCUGUUGGUUCGCUAAGCUCACAACUGCGCUUAAGAAGUUCGGUUUCAAACAAUCGUACUCCGACUACUCCCUGUUCACGUACAUCAAAGGCGGACGAAGUCUGCGAGUUCUCAUCUACGUAGAUGAUCUGAUAAUCGCUGGUGAUGACUUGAACAUGAUGACGAAAUUCAAAGCUUACUUGAACGAGUGGUUCAAGAUGAAGGACUUGGGCAAAGCAAAGUAUUUUCUUGGUAUCGAGAUAGCAAGAGGACCGAUGGGAAUGUUUCUCUCACAGAGGAAGUAUGCUCUAGACAUAGUGGCAGAAGCGGGCUUGUUGGGUUGUAAGCCAGUGGCGACGCCUAUGGAGCAGAAUCACAGACUGUUGGCGGACAAGGGACCAUUCUACCGAGAUCCAGUGAGGUUUAGAAGAGUUGUUGGUCGGCUGGUGUAUCUUGCGAUUACUAGACCAGAACUGAGCUAUGCGAUCCAUAUCUUGUCACAAGUAAUGCAUAAGCCAAGGGAGGCUCAUUGGGAUGCGGUGGUGCGUGUGCUCAAGUACCUGAAGGGGUGUCCAGGACAAGGGAUUAUGUUGAAAGCAGUCAGCGACCUUCGAAUAAGAGCCUUAUGCGAUUCGGAUUGGGCUUCAUGUCCAUUGUCGAGAAGAUCGCUGUCUGCGUUCGUGGUGCUGUUGGGAGACUCACCCAUUUCUUGGAAGACCAAGAAGCAGGACACCGUGUCUCAUUCUUCCGCAGAAGCAGAGUAUAGGGCGAUGGCGGCGACACUGCGAGAGCUGAAAUGGUUGAAGCGUCUGCUGGGAGAUUUUAGAGUGAAACACAGUGAGCCUAUGCAGAUGUUCUGCGAUAGUAAAUCGGCCAUUUACAAAGCUACGAACCCUGUGUUUCAUGAAAGAACGAAACACAUCGAGUCAGACUGUCAUAGUGUGCGUGAUGCAGUUCAGGAUCGGCUGAUCGCGUUUCGUCAUGUACGGACAACAGAGCAACUAGCCGACAUAAUGACAAAGGCUUUGGGGAGCUCAUCGUUUCACUAUCUACUAAACAAGUUGGGCGUUCGAAACUUACACGCGCCAACUUGAGGGGGAGUGUUAAGAGUGGUUUGGGUUGGUCGGACCGUAUCGGUUAUGUCAUAUCUCGUUGGAGAUUGAGGUUGUUGAAAUAAGGACAAUGUAUUAUAGAUANNNNNNNNNNNNNNNNNNNNNNNNNNNNNNNNNNNNNNNNNNNNNNNNNNNNNNNNNNNNNNNNNNNNNNNNNNNNNNNNNNNNNNNNNNNNNNNNNNNNGAUGUUUCAGGGUUUAGGGUUCGUAUUUAAAAGAAAUAUAGGGUUUAGGAUUGAUGGUUUAGAGUUUACAGUUCGUAUUUGAAAAAAAUAAAUAGGGUUUAUGAUUGAUGGUUUAGGGUUUAGAGUUGAGUUUUAGGGUUUAGGGUUUGAAUUUCGAAAUAGGGUUUUAUGGUUUAGGGUUUAAAAUUAUUAUUUUUUUUUUAGAUUUUUUAUUUAUUUAAAUAUUUAUUUAUUAUUUAUAUAAAGAACAAGGGCACAAGAGUCUUUUGUCACUUAAUGAAUAAGGUGUUUUUGAAAAUGUCCCUUUAGUGAGGGUAAAGAUGAAAAGUGGUAUCAUGAAAGUGGUAAACAUAAAAUUUCCCCUUAAUUAAAGUUAGAAUUAUAAAAUUAUGUUUUAAAGUAUGUCAAAACAUACAAAUAGCUUAUAAAUCAAAAUAAAAUAAAUAAUUAAUAUCAUAAUACUUAAUAUGAUCAAAUAAAUAUAAAGGUAAACUGAAAUUUCGUAUUUUUUUUAUUUAUAUUGGUCUCAGCUAUAAAAUAUUAUAAAUUUAUAAUAUGUUAUAUGAGUUUCUUAGAAAAAUAAUGGUUAAUUGUGAUCUCACACGAGUUCUAUCAAUGAAAUAUAUUUAAAACAGAAUGUUAUUAAUAUAUAUGAUAACAUAAAAAAAAAUCAAAGAGGCUAAAAAUUAAAAUAAAUUAGUUGAAAAUUCAAAUAAUAUUUACAAAUAAUAUUGACAUUAGAAUAUAGUCUCAGGCUCUCGACAACAGAAAAUAAAGAUAUGAAAAAUAUGCAUUAUACAUUCGUCAAUUGAAAAAUAUGUUAUCUAAGUUUAUGAGAUAUGAUGUGAACUAAUAAAACAUCGUAAUCACGCCGUUAAUUAAUACAUUUUUCGGGUAACAGAGAAGAGAAAGUCAAACCCUUUCCGGGUGGGUUUCUCAAGACAAAUGCUGGGCGGAGAAAGGUGAAUCUCCCACUGAUAAACCAGCAAUCUUAUUAUCAGCUGAUUGAUAGGGUUUAAGCGAAACACCAGAGGAAACUCCAAGGGGAAGAUAAGAAACAGUGAGGUGACGAUAAAUUACACUGACGAAAAAAUUUCAAACAAACAACUUUCCAUCUUGUUGACCGAAAAAAUUAUAAUAUAUAACCAUGUGGCUGAGUUAAGCGGAAUGCUAAAAAAUCAAAAAAAGAAAGAAGCUUAAAGCUUGUUUGUUUCAAAAGGUAAAAAGAGCCAGCCAAUGUCAUCAUCUCACUUUUACUGCCUCUACUUCAUAGAUAAGCCACGAAUUCUUAGGCACAUCUUCCUUGUUCAAUCCUUCCUCUGUGUAUCUGUUUAUAUCACAUCAAGAAGCAAGAGAAACAGAAACAUAUUAUUAUGCUGAAAAUGAAUCAUCAAUAAUCAACUGACAUACCCAAGAGAUGGUGGAAUUAUGAGUCUUCUCUUAUCACCAGCUCGCAUCCCUGACAGAAUGAAUCAUCAAUAAUUAACAUUUUUAUGAAUUUUCAGUUGAAAUAACCUUACUGGUUAAAAACAUGAUACAAUACCUUCAACACCUUACUGAGACCUUUUAUGACCUCUUCUCCACCUGCAAACAAACAUUAUACUUAUUGUUACAAAAAAAAAAAAAAAAGUAAAACAGAGCUUAUUGUUUAUUGCGUUGUGUGUUUGGGAUGGGAGAAACAACAUUGUGUUAGAAAUAUGAGAGAAGUGUUGUUGUGAAAGUUGUGUAUUUCUCCUCUCUCUCUCUCUCUCUCUCUCUCUCUCUCUCUCUCUCUCUCUCUCUCUCUCUCUCUAUGUUCUGCUAAAUGCAUAUUUUUAAGUUAUCCACUAAACUAUCAUGGUUACAGGUGUUUUGAUCUCACAACAAAAAGAUCAUCAUGUCACGCCAUGUUUAGUUUGACUAAAGCUCAUUCCCGUAUCAGUCUUCUCGGUCUCACAAUGAAACUGAUUACGGUUUUUUAAACACAUCUCGUUCUCUCAUUUUCUGAAAAAAAUUUCAAAGUACAUCUCCAUCCUUCCCAGCUCCUUGAAAUGCGCCAACUCAAUCUGACAUUACAGACACAGAACCUCCUAGGCACACUAUGACCCACGGUCAAAACGUGGGAUUUCACAAAAUGAACCAAUCUUAUCUCUUCUCACUCAAACACAAUCUCAUCUACCUAAAAAUCACCUUCAAGCUCUAGAAAAUCCCUUUUGGAAUGAUGCAAUGUAUGAUGAGUACGGUGCCAUUGUUAAAGCGGUCCAAUUGAUCUAGUACCUCACCGUCAUAAUGUUAACAUUGUAACUCUUUAUGGUUGUACAAGCACAAGUAUGAUGCUGAUGGUAACUUCAAGAAACAUAAAGCGAGAUUGGUCGCUAAUGGUACGUCACAAGAGCAUGUUGUAGACUUCUCUAAGACCUUCAGCCAUGUUGUUAAAUCAGGCACUAUAAGGACAAUACUUCAUGUCGCUCUCGCUCAUCAAUGGUUUAUCAAUCAGUUAGAUGUGCAGAAUGGGUUUUCGAUGGAACCUUGGAUGAGGAUGUCUACAUGUUCCAACUACCUAGAUUUGUCCAUAAGAAAAAACCUAUCAUCUCUGCAAUUUAAAACGCUCCCUCUAUGGCUUAAAAGGUCAUCUCGUGCUUGGAAUGCAACAAUUUUUAAUUUUAUAACUAUUCAUAGGCUUACGCAGUGUAAAAGCUGCAAGCCUAUUUGGUUACAUGAAAGAGGUUCAUCGUGCUUAUAUCAAGAUGUAUGUCAAUGAUAUUAUAAUCAUUACAUCCAACAAGUUCUUAAGGAUGACAUCAUCACAACUUUAAAAAGAAAGAAAUCUACAUGACUGCUGCAUGUCAAAUCGUCUCUUUCUUUGGCAUGUCUGCAAAUUUAAUGAUUGCGGUCUCUUCCUCAGUUAGAUUUGCGAUGUCAAAGACAUUUUUGAACGAUCAUGAAUAAAGGACUGUAAGCCAUGUACAACCCCCUCCCCUAGUUGACUUAGAAUAUAAAUUUGCAGGAAAAGAGGAAAAACAUAUUGAUAACCUAGCAGCGUGUUGCAGUUCCGUAGGUGCUUUGUAAUACCUAACAUUCACUAGGUCAGACAUAUCUUAUGUAGUACAAUAAAUGUGUUUGUUUAUGCAUGACCAUCAUGAGCCACACCUUCAAUCUUUGAAGAGAAUAAUCAGUUACAAGGAAGCAAGUCACAUGGUCUGCAACUCUUACAUAAUCAAAAGAUGAUAAUGAUUGCAUAUUAAGAUGAUGGUUGUACAUUGACGAGAAGAUCAACAUCCGGCUACUGCAUCUACUUAGGAGACAAUCUAGUUUUUUGGUUAGUGAAAAGGUAACCAAGAGUUUCUCGCUCAACCGAUGAACCUGAGUAUAAAGGUUUCGAUAUUUGUUAUAUGCUGGCUUUGGAACUUACUACCAGAGAUGUACGGGAAAAGUUCCAAUUUCGACCCCCAACAAUUUAGGUCGUGCCAAAUACGACCCGAACAAUUGAUCAGUACCAAAUACGACCUCAACUCAAUCAUAAUUCGGAAAAAAAAACUACUCAAACUUCUUAAAACGUGCUUAAAUCUACAUUGACUCUAACAAAAGUUAGUCAAUCGUUUACAAAUAAAACGACGUUGUUUUGAUAUACGAGAAAAAGUGCCAAUUUUGACCCCAACACUUUCUCAGUCGUGCCAAAUAGGACCCGAAAAAUGGUCAAUGCCAAAACUGACCUCAACUUAAUUAAAAUUUAAGAAAAACUACAUGAACUUCUUAAAACAUGCAUAAAUCUACAUUGAUUCUAAAAAAAGUUAGUCAACCGUUAACAAGAAAAGACGACGUCGUUUUGACAUAUAUUAUAUAUAUUUUAAAAGAAAAAUAUGUUCAUUCCAGAACUCAACCGUGUUGUGAUACCUUUUUAAAGCGGCACACUAACAACUAGACAAAAGGGGAAAUUACAUGUUUACCACUUUCAUGCUACCACUUUUCAUUUUUACCACAACUAAAGGUACAUUUUCAAAAAUACCUUCUUCAUUAAGUGGCAAAAACUCUUGUGCCAAUGAUUUUUAUAUAUAAUAAAUAAAUAUUUAAAUAAAUAAAUAUUUAAAUAAAUAAAAAUCUAAAAAAAUAAAAAAUAUUUUUUUUAAUUUCUUUAAUUAUACUAUUUCGAAAUUCAAACCCUAAACCCUAAAACUCAACUCUAAACCCUAAACCAUCAAUCCUAAACUUUUUUUUUAAUACGAACCCUAAACCCUAAACCAUCAAUCUUAAACCCUAUUAUUUUUAAGUAUGAACCCUAAACCCUGAAACAUCAACUCUAAACCCUAAACUCCGAAACAUCAACUCUAAACCCUAAACCCUAAACCUUCAACUCUAAACCCUAAAACAUCAGCUCUAAACCCUAAAUCCUAAACUUCAACUCUAAACCCAAAAACCAUCAACACUAAACCCUAAACUAUCAACAGUAAACCUAAACCCUAAAAAGUAAACUCCAAACCCUAAACCCUAAAAAAUUAACCUUAAACCCUAAAACAUCAACUCUAAACCCUAAAUCCUAAACUUUCAACUCUAAACCCUAAACUCUAAAACCCUAGAGUUGAUGUUUUAGGGUUUAGAUUUGAAGGUUUAGGGUUUUAAGGUUUAGGGUUCGAAUUUCAGAAAAAUAUAAUGUUUAGGGGUUAGGAUUUACAUUUAAGGUUUUGAGUUGAUGUUUUAGGGUUUAGAUUUGAAGGUUUAGAGUUUAGGGUUUACAGUUGAUGUUUCGGAGUUUAGUGUUUAGAGUUGAUGUUUCAUAGUUUAGGGUUUAGAGUUGAUGAUUUAGGGUUUAAAGUUGAUGUUUUAAGUUUAGAUUUAGGGUUUUUAGGGUUUAGAUUUGAAGGUUUAGGGUUUAGGGUUGAUGUUUCGGGGUUUAGAGUUGAUGUUUCAUGGUUUAGGGUUUAGAGUUAAUGAUUUAGGGUUUAGAGUUAAUAUUUUACGUUUAGAUUACCAUAUGUUUUUUUUUUUAAGUUAAUCAAAAGGUUAUAAAUGUCUUUUACCAUUCAUUAAAUAUGAGGAUAAAAGUGGUUAGUGUAAACAUGAAAAGUGGUACUUUGAAAAUGGUAUUUUUGACAAUUUCCCUAGAUAAAAGUAAUUUUUUGAAAUAUUAUUACAAAUUUUAAAUUAAAUAAACUAUUAUUCUUCUUCAUCUUAUCCAAUUUAAAAUUUUGGUGAUAAUUUUUUUCUGAUUUAUACAAAUACAUUAACAUGUUUAUUAUUUAUCAUAUCUUUAAACUUAUAUCUUAUAUAUAUCAAAACGACAUUGUCUUUUCUUGUUAAUGAUUGACUAACUUCUGUUAGAAUUAAUGUAGAUUUAUGCACGUUUUAAAAAGUUCAAGUAGUUUUUUUAAAAUUAUGAUUAAGUUGAGGUCGGUUUUGGCACUGACCAUUUGUUCCGAUCCUAUUUGGCACGAUUGAGAGUGUUGGGGUCAAAAUUGGUAUUUUUCCUCUUAUAUUAGAACGACAUCGUUUUAUCUUAGUAACGGUUGAAUACCUUCUGUUAGAGUCAAUGUAGAUUUAGUCACGUUUUAAAAAGUUUGUGUAGUUUUUUUUUUGAAUUAUAAUUGAUUUGAAGUCUUAUUUAGCACUGAUCAAUUGUUCACGACUGAAAUUGUUGGGAUUAAAUUGGCAUUUUUGUCAUGUCAAACAAGCUACAUUAGUCUAUUGUAAUAACAUUGGCGUUGUAUACUUGUCCGUAAUACCAACAGAUAAAACAGAUUGAAAUUGACAUCCACUUUGUUAGGAAAAAGGUGAAAAUGGAACAUGUUUGGGUUCAUCACAUCUUUGCUUCAUUGAUCUACGUAGACAUCUCUACUAAAGGGUUUAUAUAUUAUUUAUUUCUAAGUUUUGGUACCAGUUUAGGUGUGUUAAACCUCAACCUUUUGGUACCAGUUUAGGUGUGUUAAACCUCAACCUAGAACUGCGAAAAUGUAAUAGACUCCAAUAAUAUUUUUUUUAGUAAUUAGAGCAUUCGAUUAGCACAUCCCAAAUAUUAUGGAACAAAUUGUAUUAUAUAUUUUCAGUAAAUAUAGUAAAACCUUUCAAAAGAAAACAUUUUAUGAGGUGAUUGAUUAGGUUGUAAAUACUUUAUUUAGUCUACAUCCUUUAGAAUGGCAAUUAUACUUUGAAUUAAUUUCGAAAGCUACAACCAAAAAAUAAAAUGGUUAUAAUCCCCUAUUUACUAAAGAAUAUUUUAUAUAUUGUAAGAAAAAUAUACAGCUAUAGCAGAUAUAUCUACAACAGACAUUAUACAUACAAAAUUUUACAAUACAUAAUUUAAAUCUACAUCUCAACCAAUCACCCCCUACUACUUUCACACAAACAAAUUUUACAUCUAAGCAUUUAUGUGAUUUGGAUAAUAUGUCAACGUACAUAUCAUGAUCUCAUUUAAUAUAAAUGUUCUAUCUAAGACUUGGCACAUAGACUUUGAGAAACUCUUUGCUUAGGUUAUGAUUUUGAUUCGUAGAAUAUGGGUUCGAAUUUUGGAUUUUUUUUCAUAUUCACUUUAAAACACUUUCCAAAUGAUAAUUAAUUUCAGUAAGGAGAGAAAAACAUUACAGUGAGGAGAAACAUAUUCACUUAAACAAAUCCACAAAGCACCGAAGAGAAUAACAUUACAGCAAGGAGAGGCAAGCUACAAGCGUGUGAAUUUCAAGUUCAUAAAAGUUCAGACCACUUACCUGUUUCUUGUUUGCCCAACGACUUCCAAGUCCCCACUCUUUCUCGUUUCCUUGCUCCAUCCCAUUUACUUUCCAGUUUAUACGAUCUUCGGUUUCAUAUUAUACACGAAAAUUCAAAUUAAAUUUUGUUGAAUGUUAAUUUUGAUCUAUACAUUGAGUUAUCAUUUAUACCCGUAACAAGUUAAAACUAAACUUUUGUAGGUUAACCAAAAAAAGAAGACUACACUUUGUAGAUAUCAUCAUGACAGGUAAAAUCUAGGAAGAUCUAGUAAGGAACCAUUCAGAACCAAACCGGUCAGAAACCGUGUCUCUCUCAUGAUGCACAUUCAUCAAGAAUCUGAAAAAAAAAGAUAAAUAUCAAAAUUGAUUAAAUUGAGUCAGAAGAUAACCAACACAAGAUCAUGAUCGGCUAUAUUUCGUGCCACGAUCACUGAUAUUCUGUCCACAAGUUUCCUUCUUUUAGAUUUUAAUUAGUUGUCGACAAUACUUCGAAGUUGGUUCGAUGUUGCUGUCCGAAUGUAUUGGCCCCGUCCCUACGUUGCCUUUCGAACAGCUUAUGUAUGAUUAAUGCUUCAACGAAAAGACAAUGAGACAUAUCCAGCAAAUUAGGGUUGCUCUUGUUUGAGUGGUUUAAGCCCCACGAAUAUGUAAUUAGAACACAAAAUUAUAACCAGAAUCUCGUGAGAUUCGGAGUAAUCGUGAAUUUAAAACGAGUCAUGUCAAUAUUUCAAAUCACUCGACAUUUUGUGGGUUUUCAGUUUUGUUUGCACUAAAUGAACUUGAAAACAACAUUUUAGUUCUAUUACAUACAACUGAGUUUUCUUUUGGAGACCUGAUGUCUGAAACAAUGCUAAAGAAAUUAGAAAGUAAGAUGUUACGUCCAUAGUUUAUAAAAAUCAUGUACAUAUGAUAUAAAUAAAAGAGAGAAGGUGGGGAGAUAAGACUAAGAUAGUGAUGAGUCGAAAAGGGAACAAAGACUUUAAUAAUUUAAAGACCCAACUUUUUUGAGACCCCCACGAAUGCGAUUUGCAAAAGACAUGACUCUUUGGAGUCUAGCUUGUGUUUGCAUCACAAGACAAGUUGUAUGUUCAACACCAUUCCUCUUCUCAUUUUUAAUUAACUAAUUUUCUACUAAACAUAGCAUUUCUAAAUAUACGUAUAUAUAUUUAUAAAAAAAUCACUUCAUAGUGGGAUCUAAACUAUUCUCUCUUGCAAUUUACAAAAAAAAAAAAACGAGUAUCCACUCGCGCAUGCUUCUUUUAAUUAGUGAGUAAAUACAUUGCAUGAGUGCAUAACAUAACUGAAAUAAUACAUGAAACUCUGACAGUCAUAGCCUCUGAAAUAUACAUAAGAAGAGAGUUAGAGAGACUACGUAUCUUGCAUUUAAGUAUUUAAUUAUCUAAACUUUGGGAUACUGGAGGAGUCAAGAACGUAGAAGGAAUCUUAAUAUCAAACGUAGGAAACACAUAUAUUUAAUAUUGGUAAAUUCAUUGAAUGAAGCCUAACCUAAACAUCAAAAGCAUGAAUGCAUGCGGAUUAGAAGCUAAAUGAACAUAGUUACGCGUAAACUAUGGGGGAAAUUAAAAUUACCACUUUGGUUCAUACUUUUAGGUUCUACGAUUCAAUGUAUAUAUAGAACGUGGAGCCUCUCCUCAUAACCCAGUUUUAAGGAAAAUCAUUUAUGAAUAAAAGAGACAAAUGUAUAAGAAGCACAUGGCUUUACCAUUCCUCUAUCAAUUACCAGCUCAUUUCCCUUAUCCACAUGGGUCUCUCUCCUUAUUCUCCAUUAAUCUAAAUUAUUAACAUUUUCCAAGUCACACUAUACAAACGGCGGUGCAAAUUAUGAUAGAGGAUAAUUUUCCCAUGAUACUAAUUAAAACUAAACACUCAAAAAUAAUGUAAUGAAUAAUAUCGGUACAAUCUUAGAUUUUAGACAUAAAGUAAAACAUAUCAAUACGCGCAAUUGAUAAAUGUGAACGAUCGAGAUCGGCAACAACUGCACUUGUAUGCAACUUCAAAAAGUUGAUGAUCUAGAAGAGGACUUGUCGACAUUUUUUUAUUGAACUUCUAGGAAAAAAAUGGUUUUAGCCCAAUUAUACUCCAAAAUAGGGUAAAAGUAGUGUAUAUAUUGCUCUACUUUAACCAAAAGUAGCAUUUUACUCUAAUUCCUACUUUUCUCUUUCCUCCGUCUAUAUUUAGGAACAACUAUCUUGAAUUUUUCAAAACAACACUAACUAAUACAAAUCAGCCUACUGAUUAUCAACACUCGUAAAAACUAUAUAAACUUUUAAAAGAUGCAAACACACAAGAAACACUUAAUAAAGUAAUAUCAUAAUACUUUUUAUGUUUGCUUUAUUUCCGGGUCGGCCGAUAGACAUCCAAUUCGCAAUCAUCAUUUUUUUAAUCUCCUUUCUUUGGUCCUUUAUAAUAAUAGUAUAUCCUUUGUAAAAGAAGUGUAAAGACAUCGACGGCAAAGAGGUAGCGUAAGCAAAGUUGGCGGAGGCAAAUAAGGAGCGUGGAAUAAAGAAAGAGUCGAGUCCACAUGGGCGGCCAUAGCGUUUGUGUCCCACCUUUGUCCCCUUGCCUCUUUCUUGCCUUUCAUGCUCCCGACAACAUCUCUCUCUCUUCCUUUAACCCUAACUUCUAUGCAUCUUCUCCCUCCUGUAUAUAUCUCUCUUUCUCUAAACCCAUCAUCAACCAAACUCACAAACAAGAACAAGAAGAACAAGGAUUCUGCUUUGGAUAUAUUACACAGAGACAUAUAGAGAGAGAGGUGUCUUGAUCUUGAAAAAAAAUGGCUUACGAGAAAGUCAAUGAGCUUAACCUUAAGGACACAGAGCUUCGUCUUGGAUUACCCGGAACGGAGCAAGAUAAGGAAGAACAAGAGGUUUCUUGCGUUAGAAGCAACAAGCGUCAACUACAGAGCGAUAACGAGGAAGAAUCUACACUUCCUACGAAGUAAGUGAAGAUUUGAGUUUCAAUCUAUUGUUUAAAAUUAUCUAUGAAUUAUUGUACUGAAUCAUCAUUUUUUUAAUCUCCUUUCUUUGGUCCUUUAUAAUAAUAGUAUAUCCUUUGUAAAAGAAGUGUAAAGACAUCGACGGCAAAGAGGUAGCGUAAGCAAAGUUGGCGGAGGCAAAUAAGGAGCGUGGAAUAAAGAAAGAGUCGAGUCCACAUGGGCGGCCAUAGCGUUUGUGUCCCACCUUUGUCCCCUUGCCUCUUUCUUGCCUUUCAUGCUCCCGACAACAUCUCUCUCUCUUCCUUUAACCCUAACUUCUAUGCAUCUUCUCCCUCCUGUAUAUAUCUCUCUUUCUCUAAACCCAUCAUCAACCAAACUCACAAACAAGAACAAGAAGAACAAGGAUUCUGCUUUGGAUAUAUUACACAGAGACAUAUAGAGAGAGAGGUGUCUUGAUCUUGAAAAAAAAUGGCUUACGAGAAAGUCAAUGAGCUUAACCUUAAGGACACAGAGCUUCGUCUUGGAUUACCCGGAACGGAGCAAGAUAAGGAAGAACAAGAGGUUUCUUGCGUUAGAAGCAACAAGCGUCAACUACAGAGCGAUAACGAGGAAGAAUCUACACUUCCUACGAAGUAAGUGAAGAUUUGAGUUUCAAUCUAUUGUUUAAAAUUAUCUAUGAAUUAUUGUACUGAUGAUGAUUCUUUGCUAAUUUACAGAACUCAAAUCGUUGGUUGGCCUCCGGUGAGAUCUUACCGUAAAAACAACAACAGUGUGAGCUAUGUGAAAGUGAGUAUGGAUGGAGCUCCAUACCUUAGGAAAAUAGAUCUCAAGACAUACAAAAACUAUCCAGAGCUUCUCAAGGCAUUAGAGAACCUGUUCAAGUUCACGAUCGGUGAAUACAGCGAAAGAGAAGGAUACAAAGGAUCUGGAGUUGUACCAACGUACGAGGAUAAAGAUGGAGAUUGGAUGUUGGUUGGUGAUGUUCCAUGGGAUAUGUUCUCUUCCUCUUGUAAGAGACUCAGGAUCAUGAAAGGAUCUGAUGCUCUUGCUUUGGACUCGGCCUUAUGAUGAUGAUGAUGAUGAUGAUGAAAGCUUUUGAUGGAUGAAACCCUUUUUGAUUUGAUUCUGAUCGGAGUUUGAGUAGUUGACCACACCAAAAACAGAACAUGUCAGGGUUUUGUUCGAUGAGAUAGAUCCAUCUUCAAGGGGUUUUCUUUUUGUUUUGUUUGAUCCUUGUUUUUAGAUUUGCAGCUUGUUGUAAAGAUAGAUGAAAUUUUUGUACAAUACGGACAUAUACACAAUAUAGAUGCGUAUGUAGCAAUGUUUUGACGAAAAGAGUCUUUAAUUUCAUAGUGAUAUCUACAAUAAUUUACAAUAAAGAACCUCAUAGUAUUCUUUAGGAGAGGGCAAAAUAAGGGUUUGGAUUCGAUCAGGAAAUUUUGGAUAUUUGUAACUCCAACAAAAAAAAAUACUUACAUUUAAUUAUAGUUAAAAACUGAAAAAAUUAUAAUUACUAAAAUUUUAGAAGAUAUAUGUGUUUAUUAUAUUUAUAUGAAAGUUUGAUAUAUUUUCGCUAAAUUAUUUAUUUAUUUAUUUAUUAAAAAGUAAAAUUAAAUUACAUUUUAUUUCGUAAUGAACAUUAUUAUAAUAUGUCAAAUUUCGAAUUUUUUAAUAAAAAAUAUUUUUACAUUUAAAAAAGAUUAAUCAAGAAACAGGCCUGAUAAGAGUUUCCAAAGCCCAAUUGACUUGAGUCCAUUGAUUUUGGUUAUGUGCUAUGACGGGGCGAAUCUAGCCCAUUUAAAUUAUGGGUGCACUAUUGAUAGAAAAACAUAAAAAUACAUUAGACAAGGAUCGAACCUAAGAAACUGAGGGUGCACAUACUUCUUUUUACCAUAUAAGCUAACCAAAUUUUGAUGUUUCUACGUGUAAAAUACUAAAUUUUAAAAUAAUUGUGGGUGCACAUGUCCCCUCAUCCUUUAACUUGGCUUCGCCAGGUGUUUCCACCUUCGAUGAUCAGAUAAGUGGAGAAGGUGAAAUCUACAUAAAGCUUGAAUGAAUUGGUACAUUUGAUAUAGCAACGAAAUUAUACAUAGUAUUAAUUUAAUUUAUUUUACUUCGUAAGUCAAGCUAGGCAAGAUUGUUUUGCGUGAAAUUUCGACAGGAAGACACUUGUUUCCAGUUAAUUGGGAAAUAAUUAAUAACUAGAAUAAGACAUGCGCUAGUGCGCAUAAUGAUUUUGUUUGUAUAUAUUAUCGAUAAUUCUUUUUAUAUAUUUGUUUAUUUUGUUAAUGCAUAUACAAUAUUUUUUGCUAAUAUUAUAUAAUUUCUUUCUGAUAGAUCGGAUUAAUUUUUAUUAAAAGUUGUGGAACUAAAUUAUAAUUAAUAUAUCAUAGGUUGAUUGGAUUUAAACAAAUUGUGACACAAAAACCUUAUUUUUUUCACCGGACACAUUAUUGAAAAAAAUGAAUAGUAAUGUUUCCACAGUUGAAUUGUUUUGACAUUGAUCUUCCAUAUGGUUUUGACAUGUUUCAGAUCAACAAUCAAAUUAAUACAUGUCAUUUUAAUGAUUUUAGUCGUAUGGUUAAGUAAAACUUACAUUUUUGUAAUUUAAAUUUGUUUUAAAAAAAUUCAGAAUAUAACAUAUAAGAAAAAAUCUAACAUAUAAGAAAAAAUCUAACAUAUAAGAAAAAUAUAACAUAUAAGAUUUCCUCAUUUUUGUAAAUUAAAGUCGUUUUAAACAAAAAUUAAAUUAUAACAUAUAAGGUUUCCUCAUUUUUGUAAUUUAAAGUCAUUUUAAAAAUUUUAAAAUAUAACAUAUAAGUAAAAAAACUAGUUUUUUAAUUAUAUGGUUAAUGUGAUUAUUUUAAUUUUUUUAAUAAUAUAAAAUUUAAAAAAAAAUGAAGAAUGAUGCAAAAAUUGUUAUAAAUUUUUUAUUAUUCAUAGUCAUUAACUGUCAUAUAUAUGUUAAUACUAUUAGGUAAUUUCGUAGUUUUUAUUUAAAGAAAUAAUACAUGUUUCUUAUAUUUUGAGUUAAUAUAAUGUUUCUUAAUAACUGGAUUUGAACCAACAUUUUUUCAAUUAAUUCUUAAGCUGUCAUGUAAACUAAAUUGUCAUCCUAAUUAAGUGAUACCUAAACAGUGUCUCUUUUUAAUUAGUACAAACUUAAUGUUAUAAUUUUUUUAAUAGUCCUCAAUUAAUAUAUAGGGAUUCAUAUAAUCAUAUUUAACAUGUUUAAUGAGGGGUCGUACAUAUUUAUAAUAUAUUUUUUUUUUUAUUGCUAUCUUAGCUUAACUGGUCAUGCAUGUUUCGUAUGUUUUUGAUACUGCUAGUACAUUCAAGUCUAGUUUUGUAUAAUCUAAGUCUGUAAUCUAAUUUUCAACAGUGGUGAUAUAUAUAUUAAUGGGAAAAUUAGGGCACGAAUAAUUAAGAAUUGCAAUUCUAUACUAAGAAAAAUGAGUUGAAAACAUGUUUUGAAAGUUUAAUCCUGCGAGUUAAAACAUUUUGAGGCACCUUUUUCUUAAUAUUUGCAAAUCUAAUGUCUUAACUUUUUAUCAUAUUCAUUACUGCAUUUUGCCGCGUGCCAAUUAACAUAAGUGCACGCUACUACAAUCGAAUGGUAUAUCGAUGCAGUAUUGUAUGAUUGAAUCCAUAAAAAACUAGUGGUAUAUAACAAUAAGAAUACACAAACUUUUCUAAUCUAAGCAAAUAAGAAGAUGGAUGAUUUGUAACAAUCUAAGUAAUGACAGUAGUGAUCAUGGGCCUUUGGAGAAAGUGAAAGAGCAGUCUCAAGCCCACACGGUCACCACCAAAGUUCAGCCUAAUCCUCCUCUGUCGUCUAGUGUCAAACAGAAAGCAUUCAAGGUUCAAUCUUCUUGCUCCAGUACGACGAGGCCAGCUAAUGGCAUAACGGUUGGAAAUAGAUUUGAGUGUCUUGGUACACAGCCUGUCAUGUGCUGAGUCAGAGUAGAGGAUAAGAUCUUAUGUCUCUAUAUAAUGUAAAACGUGAACAUGUAAUCAGCAAGCAAGAAAGUAAUAAAAGUUAAAACGUUCUUCUUCACAAAACUCUAAGUUUUUUCAUGGUAUCAGAGCCAUGGAGGACUCUGACGCUAUUUCUACGCCAUCACUGAGUAUCUCUCAGUGUGUGACGUUAAAACUCACAUCUUCCAACUACUUGCUUUGGAAGACACAGUUCGAAUCCUUUCUUUACAGUCAAUCCUUGCUCGGUUUUCUCAAUGGAGGUUCUCUUCGCCCUGCUCCAACGGUAACGGUUCAAGAAGGAGAUGGAGUCACAGAGCAGCCUAAUCCUGAGUUUCAGAAGUGGAUGCGCAAAGACCAGCUUGUCAUGGCUUGGUUGUUCGGUUCUCUGUCUGAGGAUGCUCUCAGAUCUGUCUACGGUCUCACGUCAGCUCAGGAGGUCUGGUUCUGCCUUGGAAAGAAGUACAAUCGUGUCUCAGCUACAAGAAAACUAGAUCUCCAACGUAAGCUUCAAGGUAUGACUAAAAGCCAAAGAACCAUGACAGAGUAUCUAGGAGAGAUUAAGAGUAUCUGUGACCAGUUAGACUCUAUAGGGUGUAGCAUGACUGAGCAUGAGAUGAUAUAUGGUGCGUUGAGCGGUUUAGGGAAAGAGUAUGAAUCCAUAUGUACGGUUAUUGAGCAUUCUAUGGAUUCGGUUACUGAGAUGACGUUUGAAGAUGCUGUGUUCAAGCUCACUACCUUUGAUGAUAAGCUUCAGGUCUAUAACCAAAGUGCCACAGUUAAUCCUCAUCUUGCCUUUCAUGUUGGAAGGGGUUACUCUAACAACAGAGGCAGAGGAGGUUACACUAACAGAGGGGAUUAUAGAGGUGGUCGAAGCAACAACAACUACUCCACAAGGGGACGUGGCUUUCAACAGCAGUUCUCAAGUGGUAAUGGUCGUGACAAUGUUAGCUCAGGGUCCGGUUCCAACAACAGACCUACCUGCCAAAUCUGUGGGCGGUAUGGUCAUUCAGCUGCGAGAUGCUACAAUCGCUAUGAUCAAGAGUCUCAGUCUUCAGAUAACCUACCCAAUGCGCUCACCACAAUGAGACUUUCUGAUCAAGAACACAGUACCGGUCAAGAAUGGUAUCCAGAUUCUGCUGCGUCUGCCCACAUUACAAGCAACCAGUCUCAGUUAACGUCAGCAGAACCCUAUCUUGGGAAUGAUCAAGUGAUCGUUGGGAAUGGAGAUUACCUGCCAAUCACGCAUGUUGGAUCUGUCGCCUUACACACACAACAAGGUACUCUUCCUCUUGAUGAUGUGUUAGUCUGUCCUGGAAUAACAAAGUCUUUGAUAUCGGUUUCAAAACUCACUUCAGACUAUCCAUGUGAAGUUACAUUUGAUUCUGAAACUGUUUUUGUUAAGGACAAGCAAACAAAACAGGUGAUAACUCAAGGCAGAAGGGAUAAGGAUCUGUAUAUGUUGAAGGAUGCAAGAUAUCAAGCUUUUUAUUCUACAAGACAGAGAGCUACAAGUGUGGAGAUUUGGCAUCAAAGGCUAGGCCAUCCUCACAAGGACAUCCUUCAGCAGUUAGCCAGGAGUAACGCUAUCAGUUUGAAUAAAGGGGGGACAUUGGAGCUCUGUGAAGCGUGUCAGAUUGGCAAGAGUUGCAGGCUUCCUUUUCUUCUUUCAGAAACUUUUUCUAAUAGACCUUUAGAGAAGAUACAUUGUGACUUAUGGGGACCUAGUCCAGUUGUUUCUGCUCAAGGAUUUGGAUUACCCGGAAUAGAGCAAGAUAAGGAAGAACAAGAGGUUUCUUGCGUUAGAAGCAACAAGCGUCAACUACAAAGCGAUAACGAGGAAGAAUCUACACUUCCUACGAAGUAAGUAAAGAUUUGAGUUUCAAUCUAUUGUUUCAAAUUAUCUAUGAAUUGUUGUACUAAUGAUGAUUCUUUGCUAAUUUACAGAACUCAAAUCGUUGGUUGGCCUCCGGUGAGAUCUUACCGUAAAAACAACAACAGUGUGAGCUAUGUGAAAGUGAGUAUGGAUGGAGCUCCAUACCUUAGGAAAAUAGAUCUCAAGACAUACAAAAACUAUCCAGAGCUUCUCAAGGCAUUAGAGAACCUGUUCAAGUUCACGAUCGGUGAAUACAGCGAAAGAGAAGGAUACAAAGGAUCUGGAGUUGUACCAACGUACGAGGAUAAAGAUGGAGAUUGGAUGUUGGUUGGUGAUGUUCCAUGGGAUAUGUUCUCUUCCUCUUGUAAGAGACUCAGGAUCAUGAAAGGAUCUGAUGCUCUUGCUUUGGACUCGGCCUUAUGAUGAUGAUGAUGAUGAUGAUGAAAGCUUUUGAUGGAUGAAACCCUUUUUGAUUUGAUUCUGAUCGGAGUUUGAGUAGUUGACCACACCAAAAACAGAACAUGUCAGGGUUUUGUUCGAUGAGAUAGAUCCAUCUUCAAGGGGUUUUCUUUUUGUUUUGUUUGAUCCUUGUUUUUAGAUUUGCA